UUUGAGGGAAUCACUUACCUUAAGAAAAAGUUUUUUAAAAAUAUUUUGCAUCUUAUCUAUCAAUUUUAAGAAAAUCCAAUUAUUUGAAUUUUUAAGUUUAUUUAAACCAUUAUAUUUUAUUCAAUUAAUGGUUAUGAUUGAAAAUAAAUUUAAACGGAUUGUCUAUUGACCCGGUUACUUUUCGUUUCCACAGUCACGUGGGAGAGAUUUUCAUCCUAUAUUCAGUAUUUAAUUCAUAAUCAUAGCACUAUGAUGAUAAUUUUUUGUAGGCCCAUUUCCAAUGUUGGCCCAAUAAGUUCGGGUCAAGCCUCUAUCAAACCCUAAAAUUAACACAAAACCCUAGCCUCUCUCUGACGGAUCUGAUCGGCUAUAAAAUCAAAGCAUGUUCAGCUGCAAUAGCCACCGCUUCUUUACAUCACAAACUUGCUUCCUGUUUUCUCUGUUUUUUUUAUAUCUUUAUUAGCGAGUUAUGGUUUCAUUAUAAUUCUUGUAGUUUUUACUUUGUCUAUAAUUGUUUUUUGAGUAGUCUUUAAUCCAAGAAGUGGAAGGUUUUUAAGUUGUGGAUUUCUCUGUGAUGAUGAACAACGAUGACGAGUCCGAUCCAUUCUUAACAAUGUGACGACAAUUCGAGGCAUUUGUCUGAGAGGUUUCCACUCCUUAUAGUUUUUGCACUAGAUUUUCUAAAAUCACUUAAACGAAUUGUUUUAAUCUGUUUUCUUUGUUUUUUCGUAUCUGUUUGUUCUGUUGAUUUUGGUUUUCUUAUUCUGAUUAUUGGCAUGGUGAAGAUAUGUUUAUUGUCAUCUGAUAUUUCUCAUGACGAAUAUAACACCUCCUACUCAUUCUGAAUGCCUAUUUCAUUUUCAAUUAAUUUUUUUGUUUAUUUCGCAUUAGAGAAAGAUUACAAGGUGGCUGUGAUGAGAUUUACUUUUUAUUUCCGUUGAGAAUUAACGAUGAUUUUGUUUCAAGCACUUUUGAGCUACUUUUUCUUUCUCUUCUCAAUCUUUUACAUUAAUGAUUAUUUCGCUAUUUGUUUAAAUUCUUUAUUUUUCUUCAGCUUGUCAUUAAUUGUACAAGUCGCUUGUUAACUUUGGCAGUCGAUGAAUUUGUGGGUUAUGUUUGUAUUUAUGUUUUUGUUUUUGAAAAUUAUCACGGAGUAAUUUUUGACAUGGAUUUUACGUGAUUAGGUCCUUCAUUGUAGAUUGCAUUUUUACGCUUGUUAACACAUUAUUAUUUUUAAAAUGAAAUGCGAAUACCUUGUAGGAUUGUUGAAUUAGUUGUUGUCUUAAUUUUCUGUUUGUUUGAUGCACGUUUUAUAAACCUAUAUACAUAGCAGGUUUGGGCUGUUAUUCAUUCUUGAGUGUAAUAUUUAUUACUUAUGCACUCUCUACUUACAACAUAUAUAUAAGCUAAGAAAAAAGUUAUUUUUAUAAGAAUCAGGUUUGAAUCAUGUAACUUUUGGACCCUAUUAUUGAUCAUGCAUUGGCAGUCAAAUCUGUGCGAUAGGCAAGGGGAUUGAAAGGAAGUGCAGCUAUGAUUAUAAUUCUGGAAGGACUGUUACAUUUGAUCACUUUUAUCUAAAUUUUAGUAUUUCAUUCACUUAAAAAAUGUAUGUAUCUGAUAUUGUUAAGUUUGAAGUACUUAUUCUACGUGUUGAUUAGUUAUUCUUGUUAGUCUUGGUUGGAUAUGUAUUAAAUUUUUAUGAUCUCUUUUCUGGAGAGCAACUGUAUGUUGAUAUAUUGAUAUUUAAAAAAUUAGUAAAAUCUACCUUGUACGAAAUUUGAAAGCGGUACUUGAUUGUAUCGGCAUGCCGUUACCAAAACAUUAAUAGAACGAUGAAAUAUUAUUUAUUUCUUGUUUGAUUGGAUGAAAUUGACAGUGUUGUGAAAUUUUACGACAACAGAGUUGAAAUCCAAGUAUCCGAAUCCCCAACCGGAAUCGCGACAAUGAAACGCAUUCUGCGUAGAUCACAGCGACAUGAUUAAAAGAAAAAGCACUUCCCUAUUCGCGACAAUGAAACACAUUCUUUUCCAACUUCACUAUUAUUUGUACAGAUAAAAUAAAAUUGACAAUUGAUUGAGUCACGGUGUUAUACUUCACAAUCUUACCUUCCAUUUCUUUCUAUAUCCAUUUAUUUAUUCCUCACUCUACCAGGUUCCUAUCUCUACUUGACAUUGUUUGACGUUGGAUGAGUCAAUAACGACUGGGGAUUAUUUUGGCAUAAGUGUGUGAUGAGAUGAUGGUGAUAGUGCAAGGUUCAUUUGGCACAAGCACCAGUUUUGCCCUCCGUUUUGGACUAACUGUUUUGUUCUCCUCUUCCCUUCAAUUCCUAUGCUAUCAUCUUGAUUUUUACCCCUUCACUUCUUUCUGAUAGCUAAUUCAAUUCAAUUUCGUAUCUGUACUUUCCUCUUCACAAACCCUUCUCUCUAGUUCUGAUGGCUAGUCCUUCAAAUAUUCAAAGUUUAUAAAUUUAUCAGUUGUAUCUUCGAAUGGUCAAUUUUUUCAAGACAGGCUACAACUAAAUUAUUGUUCCCAUAUUUUGAGUUGUGAUAUAGACUUUGGAAUGAUUGAUUUUGCAAAUUAUAUAUUGGGGCUAGGUUUUAGUUGUUUUGUUAUACCAAUGUGCUAUUGUGAUAAAUGUGACUUACUGUAUACAAUUGGAUAUCUUGAUUGAACAGUUAAGAUUAAAAUGACAUGCACGUGUCUAUCAUGUGACUAAUAACUAAUUUUUUUAAUCCUAACCAUUCAUGAUCGGUUGUAAGACCCAAAUUUAUUAUUCUUACAAUUUUUAUACUACAACUGUUCCCACCUUCCAUGUAUGUAUAUGUAUAUAUCUACUCAUGCGCCGCAUCAUUGGCAUGGUACUUUCAUGGAGUCUGAAAUUGAGUCUCAGCGACAAGAGUCUGAAGUUGUAUCUUAGUAAGAGAAAUGUUGAUAUAACAGAGUGUGAAGAGUCUUUGUGAUAUAGGUUUCUGAUUUAUUGUUGAAUGGAAAGAGAAUUUACAUUGUAUUGGCCUAUUACCAAAUUGCUCACUUCAAAGAUCCAGAAAGCUAGACGACAUUUCAGAAAUGUAGUAGAAAUUAAGAAAGUGGACAAGGAUAAUUUCUGUUAUUUUUAACAAAACAGGAACCUUUGACUAAUUGAGGUAAUUAGAAACUUAGGAGUUGCCAGCAUCUUGUACAUUCUCUACUUAAGCAUAUUUUUUCCUUCUUUUUAGUGUAGUUAUUGAAAAGUGGAAUUCAUGGGAUGAUGGUAAAGAAGGGGAGCAGAGGCGGAGGUUCCGAGGGACAGGUGGGGGCCUGAAAUUUUUUAAAAAAUUAGAAAAUUAGUAAUAUUAUUAAAAUAUGUUUGACCUAAACUUGGGUGUUUAAAUUAAAUCCUAAUUUCUUAUUUUGGACGGUACACAAAAGUCACACAUUAUCACUUUUAUCAUUAUUCUAUUCAGUAUUCACACAACAACACAAUAUAGAACCAACAUCUCACUAUCCUACUUAAUAUUCAUCACUAUUCAUGCUAUAGCAAAAGCUGUACAGAAACAGUCCAUAACAACAAUAAUUUGCAGGUGCGUUUUUUCACCAAUAUUUUCUUUAUGUUAUAUUCAUAUUUCCUCAAUUGAUGAUUAAUAUUGCAAUCUCAUUACUCCAUAUUGGGGCAUAAUUAUUGACAUUGUUGAUACAUUUAGCAUUUUUGUUAUGACAAACACAAUGUUUUUUAUAGCCACACUCAGAUUCUCUAAUAAUUUGAUUUUCUAAUGAUUAAUUAUAUGAUUAAUUUCAGGUUAAUGAAAUUACUUAAAAACGUAAAAUGUCUAAGCAUAAAAAAAUUGAUUAAUUUCAGGUUAUUGAUAAUUAUUAUGUUAUUUUGAAACUUCAAAAUAAUUAUAUAUGUUUUUUAUAUUUUAUUUACUGAAUUAAUUUUAAUCGUAAAUUAUAAUUAAAUAUUGUUGUCCCCUCUAGAUUUUUAAUCAAGAUCCGCCACGGAAGGGGAGGGUUUUCAAUGUCUCAAUUUUGUUGUGUUGCUACUUGCUAGAAUCUUAUUGUGACAUGAUUUGAUUUUCAUAACUCAAAUUAUACUACCAUCUUGCGAUCUAUGGUACAUGUAUAUGCUUCAUUUCUGAUGCUAUUCUCAGCCUUUUGGUAUAGAAUUUAAAGUACAUGAAUGUAAAGUUUGGCAUAGAAUUUUUGUUUCCCUGUAAAUAACCAAUAGUUCAUAUAGUGAUAUAAUUGCUCUUUCAAUGAAAGUGAAACAUACAGAAAUUACUUGUUUCUGAGCUGCUUCAUGCUUUUGUUUUUCUUUCCUCUAAUCUCUCAUCUGAAUUGUGUUUCCUAAUCAUAGUAAAGACAUUGAGCAGAAAUUUAAUUUCCUGCAAUGUUUGGAUGAUUUAUACGAUACUGCUAUUAUAUACUAUAACAAGAUUUUUAAGUGCUUCUCUAAAAUGUAGUUGCAAAUACCUAAAAUCUUGGCAGUUUCCAUAUUUCAGUUUUAAGUAACAGAAAAUGUAACUUUUGGCAUUGCCAGUUGAACUUAGGAGCUAAUAUCGUGUUUGAGAGUUAAGUUUUGAAUGAGUACUACGGAUGGAAUGAAAAGUGUCGGGAAUUCGGGAUCACGUUAUGUACGCUACAAAUUUUGUAUACUAAACCAAUGAAGUUUUGGCUUUGAAGUGCUAUCACUACCCUCAUCCCUAAUUCAUAAAGGAUAAAUAGAUAAAAGUAUAUGAAAGUUAUGCAAUGAUAGUGAAGACUAAACAUAUGGUGUGCAUCUCUAGUUUUAAUGAGAAAAUGGAGUAGGAAGGGGUGAGAUGUGAUAUAUGAAUCUAAGAGAUGAGCAUUGUGUACGAUCCUUUUUUUGGGUACAUUGGAAUUGUGUACUAUGUUUGGACAAAUAAUAAUUAUUGAGAAAUUUUGUUUAAGUGACACAAACAUAACAUCUGCAUCUGCUCUUCCAAUAAUGUAUCUUUCAUAAUAGGCCAAUUAUUCAUAGAUACCAUAAUCUAGCAGCAUGUUGGGUAAGUUAAUUGGACUAGGAUGCACACCAGUGUUGGCAAUGCGAAUAAUCAACUCCACCAACCGGCAUCAACACAUUCAACUUUAAAAUACGCUAAUGUAUUUAGACUUGAGACAUAGUUUUGAUACUCAUGGGUUGUGUCUGGACAUCUCAGUAAGGCAAAAUUUAUGUUGAAGGCAUGGGAUAUAAUCAGUCAAUUCUCAUUGUAUCUUUUAGUUUACUUUCUAUUGUGCAAACUCAUUCAUUAACAUUUCGUACAAGCCAGUGAUUAUAACAUUUAUGUCCCAAUAGAUACAGCUAAUUCAUUCAAUAUAUUUUGUAAGAAAGUUAAUUUCAAAUAAAACGAAGUAAUUUUAAGUGUAAAAAACUUCUUUGGCAAUGGAUCAACACAAAUGUUAACUAUAAUAUUGUAGAAGUAAAGAAUGGAAUCGGGAAAACAAAACUAAUCUUUCAAUAAACUUUAAUACUUUUAACGAUGUUAUUAGUUUCUUUUGUUAGAUUCUUUUUAAUAAACUCGAUUCUGGACAUAAAUCAAGAUCAGCAAUAUUAUAAUACCCACAAAAAAUUCAAAUCUUUAUGAGAUUCCGAUAAACAAUACUUUUUCAUCCAUAUUUACCCCAAGUUUUAUAUUGACGUGAUUCCAAUAAAAAUCAAAACAGUUUCAUAUUCUAAAAAGUAUUCAACUUGUUUCCCAAUUAUUUACUUCGUAUACAUAUAAUCAAUACUUUUAAAUAAAAAAUAUCAAUUGACCUUAUGUAUUUUUUACUAAACUUUACUCUUUUCUAUUUCAAAAAUUACAUACAAUCCUUCUUUAAUGAUUAAAGGUCAUAGCAGAGGGGAAGGGGAUAGUGAAAAAGUUUCAUGGUAGGGUUUGAGGGGUGGGUCAGUUAGAUCAUUAUUCACUCAUAACAACCAUAUAUUAUAAUGGUAGAGAAAAACAUUUUUCUGAACAAUGUCAUGGACCUUGAAUUUAAAUACAUAAUAAAUGGUGGCCUCACUUUAGUUCCCCACCCUCCCUGAACCCUCCACUAAGAGCCAGUUAAAGGAGGCAUUGGUGUACCUUCUCUUCUCUUUGAAGAAUUUCCUUAGAUUAUUUAACUGUCCUUCUUUGAUGGUUAUGUUUGUUUUUACAGUUUAACUAGUUCAAUGGGAUCUAACUGUCAUUGAUCCUCAUUGUAUGAUUGGAAAGAGUAAAAAAGGUUUAUUUGAUGAGUUAGUUUUGGAUAGAUUGUUGUUCAAGAAUAUUUAAGGAGGUUGUUAACUUAAAAAAAAUCAAUUGUUUCUUGAACAUGAUUGAGUUUCUUUAUAAAUUAUUAUAAUUACAUUAUUGGUUAAGGUUAUACUAAUAAAUCACAAUAUUUAAUUUUAUAGUGCUAAUUACAUAUGUAGAAUCAGUACAUACAUAUUAACUUUAUAGUCAGAUUAUCCUAUAUAUAUAUUUUUUCCAGGUUUUGUCAAUAUUAGAGGGUGACAAACGAAUAGAACAUGAGUACUCUUAGAUUUUUUGAAUGACCAAAAUAUUAAAAGUUUGAUUAUUGUGAGCUACCUGUUUCCUAUGAGUCUCUAACAUUUAUGACAAUAAUUUAUUAUCUCCCUUACAACUUUCAAUCAAAUAAUAUGAUGAGAGUUAGAAAACAACCUAUCAGAAAACCUUAACUACUAUAAUUUAAAAGUCAACGAGCUCAAUUGUAUAGAUAGUUUAAAAACAUACUUACAAAACAAUUCAGCAGAAAUUAGAAGAAAAAACAUUUGGAGUAUUUUAUUACAAUCUUACUUGUGUUUCACUAAAGAAACAGGUUCCGAUGCCUAUGCGCUUCUUCUGGGUUGGUGUCAGGAGUUGAACCCUGAUCACUUACGCCAGUUUCUGUCGGAGUGUUAUUUUAUUAUUAUCAAUUAUUGGUGCUUCUUUCGGGAUCUCAUACUCUUAAAAAAUGUUGUCUCCAUAUAUUAAGUUAAUCAAAUCUCAUCAAAUAAUAUAAAAAUUACUUUAUAUUUUUAUAAUUUUUUAUUUUAAAUAUAUGGUAACUUGAGUUGGGAUAUGAUGUGAUAUAAAAAGUAGGACAAUUAAUUAUCAUUCUCACGUUUUCCCGUCGUUUUCUGCACGUGGGUCCUCAACACACUGCAGCGAAGCACCAUGGACUUCUUUUCAUGCCACGUCCUCCUCUUGCACCACUCACCACACAUUUUGUUACCCUUUCCCUAUGUGCUACAAAAAGAUCUCCGAAUAUCAGAGAGAUCAAUUGUGAUUUUAUGUAUACAUUUUAGAUAACAAUAUCAUAUAAUUAUAUGUAAGGACUAAUAAUAUUAGAUCAUUCUAAAUUUUUUUGAUAUAUAUUUAAAUAGUCUUAGAGACAAAUAUUCUUAAAAUAUAAAGAAAAGUAUAAUGGCAAUUGUGUCUUUUUUGAAAUUAUAUUUUUAUUAUUAUAACUUCUCUUAACAAUAUUGGAGAGGAUUGUUCCAUACUUCCUUUAGUAGUUAAAUAAAUGAGUUUUUUAUUCAGCGUACACAUACUCACCCCAUGUACACAAGUUAACAAAUUUGUCAACAAUAAUAUUUUAAUUCAAACGCUCAUUCUGAAUGUAUAAAAAAGCAACUAACCAUUUUUUCUAACAUUGAUUGAUCUCAAAACAAGUAAACGACAAAAAGAAAAGGAAGCCAUAAUUAAUCUAUUAAGUUGCUAUCCAAUUAUGCAUCAAAUAAGGCUUAUGGUUUUGUUGGAGUUUGUAAUUUUAUACAUGCAUUUUUUGGAUUAUAUUUUCUAAAAAUUCAACAAUAAUUAAAAAUUAAUAGUAGAUAAUACAAUGAUAAUGUAAAAAAUAUAUACACUGUCAAUGAUACAUAUUUUACUAUUUGUUGAAAGCAAUUGCCUUUACUAAAAAAAUAUAUUAUUACUAAAUCAUUUUUGUCCAUCUCUUAUGUAAAUAUAAAUGUUAUGAUUUAAGUUGGCUCAAAUCUAAAUAUUUAAUAAUUAAUAAAACAUUGAUUUAAUGAUAUAAGGUCCAACUAAUUCACAAACAAAUAAGUAACCAAUAAUAUUAAAAAGAAUCGGUAUAUGCUAGUAUUAGCGACAUUUACUCUUUCAAUUAAAAACAAAUAGGCGAGGUGGAAUAAAAUUUGUUUGAUGUGAUGGAAAUUAAUAGUUGUUAUAUGUGGCAGCAGUAGGUAGUAGCUGAAGAUAUGAAUGUUGAAUCGAACCCCUAUCACUUUCUUUUCGUGCUAAGGUGGCCUUCCCAAAUUCUGCAAACCUUUACCAUCACACUUUAUUAUUACUCUCAGCUUUCAACCCAACCCUUAAUUUGGAACUACCGAGUCAUUUCAUAAUCAUCGUUGAUUAAAUCAACGCUUCAAAGUUCACGGGUCUUCACGUGAUCGAUAUGCUUUCUUGUGAACAUUUUGUAAUAGUGGUCCAAAAUUCCAUCCCAGUGGCAGGAACCGUAUUUUACUCUAUCCGUUAAGGAAAAUUUUGUUUUUUAUUUGACUAUUAUUCGUAGCUCAUAAGGAUGGAUCCACUUACUUGAAGAACAAUAUUAAAAAAUUUAAUCACAUCUCAGUCAUAAAUUUUAGAAAAGUAUAAUGAUUUAAAUUAAUAAGUAGAUAUAAAUUAUUAGAUUUUCUUAAUAUUAAUAUGUAGGACAUGAAAUAAUUUUUUUAAACUUAUUCAAAUAAUUCCUUCUCUAUUUAUAAAGGUAUUAAUUAUAGCAUAUUCUUAUUAUUGUGGGCAGAGAACAUACAGAAAACUGAGAAAUUUAAAAUAUAAUAAAAAGGCAAAUAAUAUAAAGAAAAUUGAUAUUUUCCUUUCUUCAUGUAAACAAAUUAAGACAAUAAUCAUUAAAAAAACAGGGGGAGAAUUAUCUCCAAAAGAAAUGAGAGUGAUAACCAAAAAAGAAAAAGAAAAGAGAGUGAGGUUCCCUCUCAUAGUCUCAUUUAUAGAAAGGAAUAACUGGAUUGCAUAUCCUUUAUACCAUGCACCCUACUAUUUCCUUUUUCAUCAUAAAAAACAAUCCAAUUAUUCCAAAUUCUAAUAUUUUAAUUUAUUUUUUUAAAGUUAUUUGAAAGACUAAUAAUAUAUAACAAUAGGUACAAAAAUAUAUAUUAAUAUAAUAGUGUAAAGUUCUGUUAGAUAUUUAAUGAGUUAAAUUUUGUGAACGAUACUUGUGAGAAGAAACAACCAAACAUCCCACAAGAAAAAAAAUUAAUUAGUUCCUUACUUUAAAAAAUGAUUUAUAUUCUAGUACCAAAAAUAUAUAUAACUAUGGGCAGAUAUUAUUUCUGUGGGAGUCAGAUUGACGAAUGCAGGGAGCAUCAAUUUUUAAUAUUAUAUUUCUGUCUAGGACUGAUGUUAUAUUAAUGAUUUAUUUUUAUAAAAACAAAAAAUAAUAAAAACUAACAUUUUGAUUGACUCGUGGAUAAUGAAUGAGACAUCAUUAGACCAUGCGAUUUCUUCGGGUAUAGAACCUAUCUCUCAACAAAUUACAAAUUACAGGCUGGAUAGCCAUUCCCACGGUUUAAAAUAACACAAUUUUCAUUUACAUGCAAAUAUUCCACAAGGGUAUCUUCCUAUAUAUAUUUUUUCUCCACUGUCUUUCUUUUGUAUACAGCUCAUACCAUUUUUUCUUUCCAAAACCGAGUCCCAACCGAUUCGAACUCACUGAGUCAUCAUGGGAAAUUGCAGUUCCUGCGGUUCAACACAGGUUAUCACAGCAAAACUCGUUCAUGAAGACGGAAGGUUACAAGAAUUUCCGUAUCCGGUUAAAGUAUCGUAUCUCUUGCAAGAACACCCCACGUGUUUUAUAUGCAACUCAGAUGAAAUGGACUUCGACGACGUCGUUUCAGCGGUUCAUGAAAACGACGUGUUGCAACCCGGGCAGUUAUAUUUCGCUCUGCCGUUAAGCCGGUUGGGUCAGCCUUUGCAACCAGCUGAGAUGGCUGCAUUGGCUGUAAAAGCCAGCUCCGCUCUCAUGAAAUACGGUGGCGCCGAUAGAAAAUAUUGUUGUCGCCGGAAACAUCUUGCGUUCUCCGAAGAAGAGUAUUCUAAGCCUCAUCGGAGUGUUCCUCCGGCAAUCCGUACCGGCGCCGUUACGUUUCAUAGGUCAAGGAAAGGAAGGUCGAUGGACGGUAGCGACAGAAGGGGGGAGUUUUCAGCGUUGUUGAGUAUCAUACCGGAGUAGGGGUAGUUUCGGAAUAAAAAAUAUGCGCCGGUGAUUUUGUUUUCUUCACUGUACAUUUAAAAAAUACAUCAUUUGAACAUUGUAGAGAGCUGUUCUAGAGAACAAUAGAACUGAUUAGAUUCUUCAAGAGUUAGAUCCAGACUCAUUGGAUAUUAUUACGUUCUUUUUGUUUCUUUUUUUUAGAUUCAUUGUUCCAUUUUAUAAAACCCAGAUUCAUUAUUCGGUGUAGUACUGUUUUUAUUGUUGAAAAGACAUGAAACUAAUUAUGUACUGUUACAUAAAGGGUCCAACAAACAUAAACAGAUGAUAUAAACAACAAAGAGUAGCGGUUGUUGAUAUCUAUUGAUUGGAACUGCAAUUGUGUCAUGUACAGUGUAAUCUCUAGCUAGCAUUCUACAUUUGGAUCUUUACUUCUUUUUUUCAUUGCAUAAAGUAUUUGAUGAAAGGAACAAAUAGUUAUAUACAAUUAUUAAAUUGAAUAUAUUUUACAAGCAAAUGAUGAAUAAACCUUAGUUAAAUGUGGAAGAAAACAACAUCAAAAACAGAAUUGAAGCAAAAUAUGAAAAUGACCAUUUUGGAUCCAUUACUGAAGUGUUAAAUAACCAACCAAGUACCUGCAGAGAAUACAUAGUUGAGUUAGUAAGAAAUUUGGUUUUCUCCAUCAUAAAUUCACGGUCAAAUCAGAAGAAAAGAGAGCAACGUUAUGAUUUUUUUUUGCAAAAUUAACUUACGUGGACUUUGUCUCAGUGAUAAAUAAUUAAUGUUUUAAUACUUUAUUGUUAAAAAUGUUUUUGGUUGAGUGAAUUUAUUUGAUUUGUGUCCACCAAAUAUAUUUUUAGACAUUUAAUUAAAAAAUUGACGAAUGAUAUGAUGGUUAAUUUAUCUUCAAAAUAAUUAGACUAUUUUUUGAAAUUUUAAAUUGUUUAGUGUGUUUUUCAAAUGAAUUCAGAUAUAUAAGAGACUAGUGUGACGACAAAUAUUUCAUGCAUGUCAGCCCACAUUUAUAUUUUUUAAUGUAAAAUAUUUAAGUUUUAUAUAUUUUAUUUUGGUGAAUCAGAAUAUUUUUUAUAUUAAAUGUAAUUUAUAUUAUAAUUUUUAUUUGGUGCAUUUAUAUUAUAUAUAUUUUUGUCUUUAUUUUAAUUGUCAAAGUAAGGUGAGAGUGGUUAAUAUAUUAGUGAUGAUUACAUAUAAUUGUAUAUUUUAAGUUACACUAAUUACACUUUACUAUUUUUUAUAUACAUAUAAAUAAGAGUUUGUAUUGAAAUUCUAUUCAACGCUUUACAAAGAUGUUCAAGUGGAAUAAGAUUUAUAUACGGGCCAAUUCAUAUUUAUUGUUCCACUUUAGGUUUAGGCUAUAUGUGGAGAUUAUGGAGUAGUCUGCAUUUCCAGAGAAUGACAAGAUGUUCAGAUGAUUAUAUCCAAUGAUGAUAUUUUGGAUGAUGAGAAUCAACUAUAUCAUACACCUCGUACAUGCCAUAUUUAUCUAUUUGUUUUUAAUGUAUUCUGGACAUCUUAAAAUUUCCAUUUUUUAAUUUUUAAUAUAUGUAUUUGACCACAUUAGGGUCAAACAUAUGACUAGAGAUGAAAUCCUUUUGUUAUGGGCCUAUUUGCACAUGUAUAUUGAUAUCUAGUUGGCAUGAAAAUUUCAAAUUGAAGUGUUGAAGUUGGUCUAUUCCUUUAAACUUUGAUUAGUAAUGAGACAUUGUCGAAGUGUUUGCUUCAUUUGUUCAAUUAAUUGGUAAAUAGAUUUAACAAGGGAGACACCAACCUCGUAGUCUCACCAUAUUUCAUACCCAGAAAUUUAGCUCAGAAAUCUCAUAAGUAAAAGAGAUAAAAGAUCUUACAAUCUACAAUACCAUAGUCAUUUAAUAGAACAGAGGCUAUUAAGUAUGGGAAAAUGGAAGCCAUUAGCGAGUAACGAAAACUGAAUAAUCUAUAUGGGUUGGUGGCACAAACCACCUCUGUUGAAAUUAACCUCUCCUAAGCAUUUUUCAUUGGCUGAAUUUACCCCUUAGAAUACUUAAAACUAAAACAAAAAAUAGAUAGAUUUUGAAUUAAAUACGUUAUGUUGCAAACAUUAUGAACUAGUGCUAUAGAGCUCCAAUUAAUGAAGGAAAACAAAAAAUGAAAAGCAAAAAUAAAUUGAUCACAUUUGUUGUUUCUGUGAUUUCAAAUAUUUAUGGUAGGAGGAGGGGCCAUCAUGCAAUUCAGCUUUUCUGAGGAACUGUUUUCAAUGGUGCAUUAUAUAUAUAGAAGAAAGGAACCCAUCAAAGGUAAGUGGAUAAGAAGAAGGUCGCAGAGCAAUUCAGGGUCAGAGAGAGGGGCCACAUGAACCUUUGGAUGAUAGACAAAAUAUGUGAUACGUUGCAGGCAAUAGGGCAUGCCCAACAUUUGUGGGUCAUAACCAAUCCCUUGUCUACUUAAGCUCCAUGUUUCCCAUAUUGUUUCUCAUGGUGGAGAGUUUCUUACAUACAUCAUUGUGAUUUAAUGGUCUAGGUUCUUUCAUCUAUCUUGAUGGGAUAUCAUACACCAAUUUCCUUAAACUAGUCAAGUUAGUCUUAAUUCUCAUGUAUCAUUCAAUAUUUUAACUGAAAUUUGAUGUUUUUAGGUACUAAGGUCAAAAUCUAAUUUUUAGAGCCUGAAUAGAACCAUUUUUUUUUCAGAAAUGAAAUUGUGUAUUUAUUCAUCACAUCUAAUUUUGGGACUACUAAUUAAGUAGCUGGUAAGCUACCGCAGGAAAAGUGACUCGAAAGUGGGCCAAAGCCAACAGUCCCAGGCCAGCAGAGGCCACUUAGCAUGUGAUUGAAUGAUACUUAUUGUUGAUCAGAAAACAACACGUUCCCAUGUUUCUAUUCACUCUUGUGUAAUUUCGUAAAAGGGUCAAGUCAAAAAUUCAAAUUUUCUUGAAUAUGUUGUCCUUUUGUGCCUUGGCCUUUUUCUAUUCACUGCAAUAGUAUAAAGCAACUUACCUUAGUUAAUUCAUAGCUACCCAUGUAGAUAUAUACAUGUUUUAAAUUGUGGUUGCGGGUCACGGAUACUUUAGUCCCAAGUAUAAUUCAAUGAUCAAUCAAAUCUGGAUACAUCUUCGGAUGGUAAAAGGGCUACCAUAGUGGUGCCCAUGACUCUUAUCGCCAUAAUUCCAUUUUCCUAGAUGAUGACAAUUGUGGUACAAACUCAUCUUUCAACGUUGUGGGACAUUAACAUCAAUGAGAUACUAAAUGGAGCAUUAUAAACAUGUGGUGGAGAGAUAAGUUUGCGAUGUUAAAGAGGUUGAAAAACUAUUCAAACAUCUUCUACCCUCUAAUAUCAGAAAAUUUCAAUCGUAAUGAAUGUGCUUAAUUACUGGAUUUAUAUAUCUUCCAUCCUAUCACCCACUAUAAAGAAAAAGAUAUGCUAAAAAGUCAAACUUCUCUUGACAUUACAUUGAAUUUGUCAUUAAAAUUGAGUUUCAAUAAAGGAGGUAGUUGACGCAAUAAGAGGCUGAUAGUAAAAAAGUGCAGGCAUCAUCCAUUUCAAUGUCUUCAAAAAUUAAAGCCAUGGGUAUUGCUCAUGAAUAACUUAUGGUUCAAAUCAUGAGAGAUAUGAACUAAAUGGCUUUCAGGGUACGUCAUUCUCCAUCUCAAUAAGUAUAUUCUGACUCGAUUCAGUUAAUCACUCUUCAUAGACCAAAAGAAGGGGGAAGGGCAUGGAAUUUGGAUAAUACAUGGCAAAGUAAACAAUGAAUUUGAAAAUGGAUAUAGAAGCUAAUGGACUUUUAAGUUACUCACCCUUACAAAACAAAACAAGGUCAAUAUAAUGCAAUCACUGAAGUAGAUUCAUAUAUCAAUGCUAUUUGGGGUUUGGAUUUAGGACCAUCCAUCGUUUUCAUGUUUAUAUCCAUCCUCCCAUAAAUUCAAUGAGCAACUGCCACUGUCAAUAUAAAACAACAUCCAAAAAAAUAUAACCUACUUAACAACUUUCUGCUAUCUAUCUUCUAUCAAUCUCAAUAUUUCCUUCUACCUUAAUUUACAUUGAAAAUAUUAGCCACAUUUCUCUUUUUUCUUCUUACAUCUCUCAUAAAUAAAUAUGAUUAAUGAGAGUAAUAAUAAUUAAUAAGAUUGAAGGUCAUAUGUGAAUGUAUUAUUUCAGUUUGACACUGAAGGAACCAAAAAAAUGUAAGUACUUAUUAUUAGUCUCUUAGUUUUGUCUUUAUUCUUUUAUUAUGGUUAGAGAAUACACAAAACCAAUAAAUAUUUAUUAGUCUCUUACGCUUUACUCCACUCUGCAUGAGUAGGUGACAACCAUGGCCACUCCAGCCUUGAAAAUCCAACGAAGGCCCCUAAAAGCAAAGAAUCCCACAAUAUUAUAGGGACAAAAAUAUAAUUAAAAAAACACUAACAACUGUCCAAUGUUUAAGAAAUCGAAAAUAGUUAUUUUGUAUUAAAAAAGGACAAGUUUAAUGAAGAUCCGAUUAAGUUAAUAUUCCAAGGACAGCAAGGAAAAAAUAGAAAUGGGAGCCAAACCUGGUGCCUAUGUAAUUGUUGAGUUGUGCAUAGAUAGAAUUAAUAUAAGAAAAACAGAAUAGAAAAAUGAUUAUUAAAAUAAUAUUUUUCAUUGGAGAGAAUUGAAAUGAUAUAGUCCUAGCAUAUUUUUAAGAUCCCUUCAUGUGUGACACAAUUUUAACAGGUUAAGAAUGUGUUAUUUUAUUCAAUAAAAUUGGUAAAGAGAUGAUGCAAAUAAAUCCAGAGACCCGAAAUCAUGAAAAAGCAUGGAACUGAUAAUAAAGAAGAAAAAAGUAAAGUAAGAAAAACAACUCAUGGCCCAUAAUCCAUUCCUCCAUUCCAUUCCUUCACCCUUUUUCUUUGCUUUCUUAGUUGUCUUGACAGUGGUGUUAUCUGCUUUACAAAAUUAAAGAAAGAUCACAAUUCACACUACACUCAUUAUUAUUCUUCUCUGCAACUCUUUGUAAAGUGGUUCCCUUGAUGGUCAACACUGUAGCUCAAGUUCAAUCAUUUUUCACGCUCUCUGUGAGAUUCAGAUAUAAAGCAUUAACACAGGCUUUUGAGAGUUUUCUCAUGUGACCACUUCUCUGUAAGUUUUAUGCUUUUGCCCUUUACUAAUGACUAGUGUCCAGAGAGAGAGAAAAAGGGUCAUUUUCUGUGUAUGCUGAUCUGUAGUUAACUGUGAAGUCAGAAAUAGAACUUCAAGGUUAUAUACAUUUAAAAAAUUUAAAUUUACAUUCUACUGCAUAUUUUUUCUUACCAUUCUGCUUUGUUUUCAAAUCCUUUAUUUCCCAAUUUGAGAAAAAAUAUCCAAUUUUUCAGGGCCGUUGGAGUUUGAAUAUUCCUUAUGUUCUAUGCAAUUAAUUGCAAUAUCUCUUUUUGGGGUAAGUAGAUCAACUUCAAAGAUCGAAACUUUGCAUAUCCUUUAUUUCCAUUCAAUACGAGGGAAAAGCGGCGCUGUAUAGUUCAAGGGAAAAACUGAGCUUCGAAGAAAAAGGAGCAAAAUUAGCAAGAUAUUUGUACCCUUGACUUGCCAAUUCAACAAUACAUAGGAAAACAAGAACUUGUUUCUCUCCCUCACCAAAAUUUCUCUCUCUGUGUGUGAUGCUAUAUAUUGUUUCAUAUUAGUUUGUGAAUCCUUGUCAAUUGUUACAUAUGGCAGAUAUUAGGCUUAACAGGGUGAAUCAAGGUCCAACCAAGAUUAAGAAUGUUCCAAUUGCUGUCACCCCUGAAGGGUUUUGGUGUUGUCCUUCUCCUGUUGUGUUUCAGAAAAGUUUCAAGGCUCAACAUCCUUUGAAUAAGCCCAAACCCUCUUCACCACCAUCAAAGACUAGCAGUGCUCAGAAAAAAUCAGUGUCAGUGAGUGAGAGAAAAACAGUGCCUACCCCAUCAAGAUUAGGGGUUUCAGAUUCUCAACAAUGUAGUGAUCCAGAAAGAGAUCCAGCUAGCACAUCUGUGGUGGCUACAGAGAGAACCCCUGGGCCCAAAAUAGAAACUUUGCCUAAGAAGUUGGCUGUUGAGUUUGGUGAACCUGGAACGUGUAAUGUGAAGGUGAUUUUAUUGGGAAAGCAGGGAUUUUGUGUGAAGCUAAGUGUUCACAGGGAUGUUCUAACUGAGAAGAGUAGCUUCUUUGCUGAUAAACUUUCUGAACAAUCUGGUUUGUCUUCUUUUCAAAUUGAUGAUUGUGAGGAUGUUGAAAUAUAUGUGGAAACUGUUGGGCUUAUGUACUGCAAUGAAAUGAAACAACGCCUUAUGAAGCAAAAUGUUUCUCGCGUUCUUCGAAUACUGAAGGUAAUUUUCUUACUGUUGCAUGCUUAGGAGCAUAUUAAUUCCUACUGCAUUAAUUAAAUUCUGUUGAAUAAGCCAAUUCUGGAGAAGAGAUGCAGGAGAUUCUAUAACACCAUACAUAAGUGAUAAGUCUAUAUGUACCUGGGUUUUAAUAAAGUUUACUGUCACUACUUAAACUGCCCUUUAAACCCAAGUAAAAUCCAGCCCACACUCUAUCUUCUUUCAGUGCCAGCAAAGCAUUCACAUCCUAACCCAAAAACCUCGCACCCGCAAAUCUAAGGCCAUGAAAAUAUUUGAUUUGAUGGUUUACAAGAACUGUUUGCCAACAUUGUAACAUAUAACUUGAUAAUUCUCCGGUGGUGUAAAAUUAAAGACUUGAUAAGGCUAUCUCUCUUGUAUGAAAUGGUUAAUAAAGGACCGCGCCUGGAUGUUGUCACUUGGACCAUUUUACUUCACAUUACUUUAUCCAUUUCUGUAAACAUUAUCAAGAUCCAGAUUAAUGUUCUCCAUUUUACUUCGCAAUCGCAUUAUCAAGAUCCAGAUUAAUGCUGCAUAUGAACUAUGAAGUAAAAUGUGCCCUGAUUUUGAACUGUUAUUGAUUAUGAUAAAGUAAUCCUUGUGUCAUAUGGGGAUCAUUAGAGUUAGUCCCACAUACCUGUGGGAAACCAAACAAAAUAUGCGGGUCAUUUUUAUAAAUUAUUAUGGUUACCUAGUAUAUACAUGUGUACUCUCCACAAGUAACAUACUGUUGACAUGGCAAGAUCAAAAGUUGUAUUCAAGAGUGGAAUUUGAUAUGAAUGAGAAUUGUGGUGAUGAUCAUGAUAUAACAUGUCGUGCUACAUGGUUUUUUCCUGUGACAAAAAUAGUAAGGUUAUCUAGUUUGAGCUAGUCCCCUAUUCCCACUUUCCCAUAAGAUCAUAAUAUUUUUCAUGGAUCAAAAUACUCCUACUUGUUCUCUACACGGCUUAAUUAUGAAGGUGGCACUAAAACCUUAGUCAUAACUUGUUUUUACUAGUCUCCAUUCCAAAUCAUUCUCCUCUUUGCUAGGAAUGGACUAUUUGAUUGAUGAAACACCUAUCCAAGACUUUAAGUACGGAUGUGGCAUGUAGCAUACAUUUUUUACUUGGAUGUACAAUUUGAUUGAUUUACAUAUCAUUCCCAUCUACUGAUAUUUGUGAAAGAAUGUGAGGUUAUUUGAGUGGAAUUUUUACGAUAUGCAUAACCGUAGACUUUGUAUGCUUGUUUAACUGAGCCUUUAUUCAAGUGGAAAUAUUAUAAGCAUUACUUGGUAGUUGUUAUUUGAGGAUAUGCAUGUUAGAAAUUCUUUAAAAAACUUGAAAGAAACUAUUCUGCAGGUCGCAGAAUCCCUUGGCUUUAGCUCAUGUAUCCAAUCAUGUUUGGAGCACUUGGAGGCAGUCCCUUGGGUUGGAGACGAAGAAGAAGAAAAGGUGGUCUCAACUGUACUACAACUCCAAGGAGAAGGAAUCAGGGUGAACCCCGUGCUGAAACGAGUUUCUUCUGAUAUUUCUAAUACCUCAAACGAUACUCUAUCCCAAAUUUUUGAACUUGUUCUGAAAAGCAAUGAGGAGAGAAGUCGGCGAGAGAUGAGAUCCAUAGUUCUAAAGCUCCUUCGGGAGAAAAACAGUCUUUGUAGCUCUACAGGUUCACCUGACAUCUGUGAUGAAAUGAUUUAUAGAUCAUGCAGAAGCUGCUUGGAUUCUUUAUUGUCAUUGUUCAAGCAAGCUACAGAGCCAGACUCCGGGGACAUACCUAAUGGUAGCAGAGAACAUGUUGUAAAACAUAUAGCUCUUGAAGCCGAUAACCUGUCAUGGUUGUUAGAGAUUUUAGUUGACAAACAAGCUGCUGAUGAAUUUGCACUGAUGUGGGCAAAUCAGCAGGAAUUGGCCACCUUACACGGAAAGCUGCCUGUUGUAUCGCGUUAUCAUAUCAGCUGCAUUUCAGGAAGACUAUAUGUCGGCAUUGGAAAAGGGGAAUUGUUGCCAUCAAAGAACACUCGCCAGUUGUUGUUGCAGACAUGGUUGCAGCCUCUGAUCAAUGAUUACAACUGGUUGCAGCAUGGAUGCAGAUCAUUUGAUAGAAAACUUGUGGAGGAAGGUAUCGGGAGGACGAUUCUCACCUUGCCUUUGGAAGAUCAACGAAGUAUUUUGCUUUCAUGGGUUGGUAGUUUCUUGAAAAGUGGUGAUGGCUGUCCCAAUCUUCAGAGAGCUUUCGAGGUCUGGUGGCGGAGAACUUUUAUUAGACCCUAUGUGGAAAGCCAAGGUAACGGCACAUCAGAUAAUUGAAUAUUGUCAAAGCAGCAUGUGACAUGUUCAUGGAUAUCUUAUGUUUUGGAAUUUCACUUUUUAAUUUGAGGAGUUUAAGGAAUUAUAUAACAUAUAUUGAUUUGAGAAUGUGGUUUGCCUCCAGCAGCUAACAAGUACUAAGAUGUAUAUAAUGGCAUAAAAGCAUGAAUUGACUAAGGGGUGCUGAGGAAAAUUGACAACAUGUGUACACAAAUCACUCAUUGGAUUGUAACAUUCAGCAAUUACUGUUUAUUUAAGCUCUUCAAAGGAAUGGAAACGUGGAAUUGAGUUUUUAGUUUCAUAAUUAAUGAGCAGUUUUAGUGUCACUCAUGUUUGUUUUCCUAGUACUUAAUGUCCAAAGUACAAACACUCUGAUUUACAAGAUCGUUAUAAUUUGGAGGACAUGUGAAAAUAGAUAUAUGUGGAUCUGCAAUGAAGCCAAUUUUACUUGUUGUGCAAGGUUCUGAUUCCACUAAGAUCGACCAUCUUGUGACUAGGUUGAAGUCAUUUGGGGAGUGUGUAGAUACACACCACAUGAUAGAGAAAAUAAUUUAAAGUCAAUAUUUAUUAAUUGCCUCAUUAACCCUCUCCCUAUUUUUAAAACAUAUUAGGAUAUUUAUCCGUAAUAAUUAAGAUCAUAAUAAUUUGUGUUUCUUUUUAAAGAAAAAUUAUAGUUUGAGAUUGUAAUUUUCGUUAAUUUAAUCUCUUUUGGUUAGAGAAACAUCAAGUAUAAGAAUAGACAUAGGAAAGAUUUUACAAUUUUUCAAUACUUGUGCCAUUGUGGGCUCAUGGUUAGAUUAUGAUCCUCCUAAAAUGGGCUUAACCCCUUCAGCCCAUUAUUACUAUUUCUGUACGAGCGGGCUGUAGCCAGGCCCACGUCAAGAUUAUGAAACUCACAUGCCCAGAGCCUCAGUGGUGAGUGCUGAAUUUCGCAUCAUAUUUUUUUAACUUCAAUACAUUUUUUAAUCGUUUAGAAAUUAUGAUACAUUUAUAUUGAAUGACAUAUUUUAUGGGAUGACAAAUAUACUCUCCUCUCAUGGAUUCCAUUAAUGAAGUGGCCACACCACAUGAUCAUGAGGAGUGUAAGAAUAAAUUGGAUAUUUAGAUUUGACGAGCAAAGUCAAACAUAUUAUGUUUAAGCUCAAUACUCAACAUCCACCAACCCAUGCAUGUUUGUUAAAGUUGUGAGGAGAUUUAGUCUCUUAAGUAAGAUUUUGAAUUCAAUCUUUGUAAAUGAAGACUUAUACAAAAUUUCAUCCUUCUUUUAGUGAUCCAGAAUUGAUUUAGAUUGAUCAUGAUCUAACAAGAUUACUAAUCAUCUGGCAAGAUUUUGGAUAUGGAGGUAUGAGACAAAACAAUAUUUAAUACUUAAAUCCAAUAACUAUAUGGUAUAAGUGAAUAAAUAUAUUUAAAAAUAUUUUGAACUAUAUAUUAGUGAAUUUUCAAGUUUAACUUUUAUCCUUCUAAAUAUCUUUUACAGUAUAUUAUUAGCUUAAUAACAUGUUGCCAAGCACAACUAAAAGAAUUUAACUAAUAUAUCAACCGUUCCACAAAUCAUAUUUUCUUGCUUUGCUAUGUUGGGUAUUUCAAAUGUGAAUAAAGAAGUUAAAGAAUAUAUAAGUUGAUGAACCCAUAUACGUAAUGUCUUAAGGUUUUGGGUUAAGAUGUAGUGUUAAGCCCACUUCUAUGUUUCUUUCACUUAGCUCAUGGAGGAAUGUUGUAACUCAUGGAUGAAGAUCUCACAACAAGUCGUAUCAGAGGCGAUGAUUCAAUGACUAAACAGAGUAUUGAAGCGACAAGUGGUUGAUAAAUCCAUGAGAGACCCUUGUGUCGAAAGUCUUCCUAGCGAGAGGUCAAGGCAACGUGUUCAGUUGAUGAAAGGAUAAGCCAACAACGGCGCAAGUAGAUAAAGAGCUAGCUCUAGUGUAUCCAAUACUCGAAAGAGAACUCACACCUCAGGGGAUGUUGGGUAUUUCAAAUGUGAAUCAAGAAGUCCCACAUUGAGCAAAAAUGGAUGAGUUAAAGAGCAUAUAAGUGGAUGAACUCAUAUACCUAAUGCCUUAAGGUUUUUGGUCAAGACCAAGUCAAUUUCUAUACUUCUUUCACUUAGCCCAUGAAAAAAUGUUGUAACCCAUUAAUGAAGAUUUACAAUAAGACAUGUUUUUUUUUACCGAGGGAGCCAAAGAGCAAAGAAGAAUGAGAUCUUCAAAAAGAAUGUUGAAUGAAGAAUUAUAAAAACAUAUUUGACAUCACAUUUUAAGAUACAAGAUCUCAGACUUUUGUUAUUGAUACACACUUCAAUAUAUUCGUCAUUUUUCAAUGAGAGAUUUCUUUUAUCACAUAUUACUCACGUGCAUAACUUUAAUAAAAAAAUUACUUUCUGAAAAUCUUAUAUAUAAAUUAAACAUUUCCAAGAAAAUGAAAGAAAAAACAAAAACUCUCUAGUCUGUACAAGUGAGUCAUGACAAUAUAUAAUUUACCAUAGAAAAAUGAGUAACUACUUACUGUCUAUCAGCUACCAACAUCAUUAUGAGUUUAAAAAAAUGUGGAGACAAAAAUAUAUAUACUCGGAUCUACUUUUGAUAUACUUCCAUCUUUCGCUAGGUUAUAUAGCAGCAUUUCUGAAUUUGAAAGUACAAUUACAAUACAAGUUAUACAACAUCACCAGUUCACGACCAACACCAACAUUUUCCCAUGUGGUCGUUGUGCCUCUAUAAUUAACUGAUAUACUUUCACGGUCUCACCAAGUGUUUGUUUUCAUUUUCAUGUGUCCUACUCGCACCUACAUCUGUCUUGACACCCUCAAAAUAAAACAUGGGAGAGAGAGAGAGAGAGAGAGAGAGAGAUUCAUUUCAAGUCAGCAUCAUACAUGCAUCUAGCAGAUAAAUGAAAACUACUUUUACUCUCCUUCUGAGACAAUGAAAUCAUUAUCUCCUGGGGAUUCCAAAAGAUACCCACACCCCAUUUCUUGAAAGUUUCUUAUUAUCAUAACAUGAAUUUUGGGAUACUGACAAAAAUGUAGGGAAAUUACAUUUUCACUCGCACAGAUAUUAAUAUUCAAAGUUCAAACAUGGUCCUCCUCUACUUUAUCUAUGCAUGUUUCUUGUUUUUUUGUUUUUAUGAGUGAAAGCGAAAUUGUUACUCUUGUCUUACUCUCCUGGCCCCCCUCCUUCUAGAGCAAAAUUCUCGUGCAAAUAAUCUUAAGUAUAAUGAAAGCUUAUAUGAGAGUGGAAAAACCAAAGAUAUUAAAUGAUACCAAAAAAAGAUUAAUGUUAUGGUGAGAUAGAGGAUGGACUAAAAUAUAUCGUUUCUGCUAUCUAAGUUUCUGUCUGUUUGUAACUUUCUACCGCGAAGACUUAAUUCUUUAUUUAGCACUUUUAAUAAUCUAACUAGGUUCUCUCUGCAUAUAUAUAUAUAUAGUCACAAUACCAUCAAACUAUUGAAAGAAAUUUUAAUUGAUACUACAAAUUAAACAUGAUCUUAUUACGCUACUGAUAUAUAAAUAAAUGAAAUAUAUAUAUAUAUAUAUAUAGUAAUAUUUAAGAGGGCUUUUUCAGCUGAGGACUUGAAUGGGUAGUGGUCCUGAACCAAUUACCAAGCUAGGGACCAUUGCUAGAUGAAUGUGAGCUUUGUAUAAGUAUACUGCCAAUUUGUUUGCAGGCCCUUAGUUCAGCUUCUUUUUCGAAAAAUGAAUUAUGCAUCAUAACUCAUGCUUGUAUGUUAAUAUGGAAUUUUACCAUGACUGCAAAAAACUUACUCCAAAUUCCACAUAUUCUAAUAUAAAUAAAUAAAAUAUAUAAAUAAUAUUCAAUAAAAAGUUUAAAAAAUAAUAACAGAAGAUAUGAUACUUAUUUUAAAAGUUAUACUAUUUUAAUAUUAAUUUUAGCUUUAAAAAAUGUCUGUCCAACAUCGUGUUAUGGUAGUUACGUUUCACUUCAUUUAGUACAGCUGUGAUUAGUCAAAUUAUAAAAAAUAUUUAGUUGAUAAUUUAAAAGAAAAUAGUUUCUUAAUUGAUAAUAAAUUUAUGGAAUAUAAACUGAGCUAUCUAAUUUCCACCAUGUUGUUAAGUUGCUUAUCCCAAUUAGCAAUUAGUAGCACCAUAUGGCUGAUUUUACCAAAGCCUAUUAAUUUUAUUUAAGGCCCGCUCCCUUUAGUGGGUCACCAAUGGGCCCCGCCCAAAAUUGUGAGCAUCAUCAAAAGGUGUGGCCUUUGUUUAAACGUCGAUAUGCACACUUACUCACCCAAAAAAGAUUAAUUAGAGUGGAGACCAUAAUUUUAAUCAAAGUUUAAACUCAUAAAACCUUACUAUUAUGGUUACAACCUAAUUUAAAAAUGAGUUGAAAAUUACCUAUUAUAUUUUUUUUAUGUCUCAUUAUAUCUCAAUUCAAUUAAAAAUAAUAAAAAAUAAAUUAAAUUUUUUAUAUUACUUGAUUUUUUAUCCUUCUUCACAACUUAAACGUUCAAGGGUACAAUAUACCGAAUGAGUUAUAUAAACUCAAACCCAAAACCUUAAUUAAUUAGGUAAGUUGGAAAAAUCAUGAAACAAUCUGUACAGUUUUCAAUAGACACCAUAGAGAUGGAAAAUGUACACAUGUGGUGCACCUUGACCGAAAAAUUACGGUUUUGGUGCACCUUUUAAAAAAAUUACCAAACUAGUAUAACUUUUUAGAAAUCGGCAAUGGGAUUGCCGAUUUCUGUAAAAAAAAUUCUCUCUCCUCCCCAAAAUCGGCACUGGGGAGGGAGUUUUAUUAGGAUAUAAUUUUUUUUUUUAAACUCCCCCCUAAAUCGUCAAUAGGGGGGGAGUUUUAUAUUUUUUAUUUUUUUUUUAUUUUUUUUCUAUCCCUUAAAUCGGCAACCGGAGAGUUUUUGAUUUUUUUUUUAACUUGCAGGAGUUAUAUUAUUAGUUUUAGGGUUUAACUUUUCAAACACAAAUCCUAACAACACAUAAGAUAAUAAAUUUUGUCAACCCUAACCCUAAUAACAGAACACAAUAAUGAAAAACACACAUAAUAUUCACAUAAUAUUUUAUAAAAUAUUAUGUGUGUUUUUCAUUAUUGUGUUCUGUUAUUAGGGUUAGGGUUNNNNNNNNNNNNNNNNNNNNNNNNNNNNNNNNNNNNNNNNNNNNNNNNNNNNNNNNNNNNNNNNNNNNNNNNNNNNNNNNNNNNNNNNNNNNNNNNNNNNUAUAUCCUAAUAAAACUCCCUCCCCAGUGCCGAUUUUGGGGAGGAGAGAGAAAUUUUUUUACAGAAAUCGGCAAUCCCAUUGCCGAUUUCUAAAAAGUUAUACUAGUUUGGUAAUUUUUUUAAAAGGUGCACCAAAACCGUAAUUUUUCGGUCAAGGUGCACUACAUGUGUAAAUUACUCCCAUAGAGAUACACCUAGCUUGCUAGCUACAAGCUCAGAAGGACAAAGAUGACGAAUAACCUACAAUCCUCUACGAUAAACAGCACUUCUUCUAUAACAAAGCAUCGAUCUUCUUCUAUAUAUUUUAUAUUAUUAUCAUGUAAGAUAACUAGUAUGUGGAAGUUUAAAUGCCUCCGAAGUCUCUAACAGAGAAACGUGUUUUCUGGGGCAUGUUACCGUCGUGGCGUAACCCUAGGGUAAGUGACACGUCACCGGCGAUGGUCCCAAAUCUAAUUAGAUUGGAUCCAAUGUCAGCACCACCUUCAGAAACCGCGGUCCCAUAGUGACAUAUCUCAUCAGUUGCCAUUGAUCUAUGGGGGGUCAGGUCUGAGUCAAAGCACUGAGACACUGGUGGCGCCACCUCAGAGGGAGGGGUCAUAAUGGUGGUUGUGGUGGUGGAAGAGCUACAUUGCUUAAUUGGUUGGUUUUCCGAUAAGGUUUUUCUAUUGAUUGCAACGACUGAAGGGUCGUUUUCAUGAGCAUUGAUAUCGGAUCUUUUGCAUAUUGUUGGUGGUGGUGAAGCUGUUGCUGUUGAAGUUUGAACAAGUUGGCCACUAUUGCUUUGGUUCAUAUUUUCUCUCUCUUCUGAACUACCCUCUGCUUCUUUAAGUUCUUGUUGGUACAUGUCUUCCACCAUAGGUUUCCACAACCGAACCCUGGCAUUAAUGAACCAAUUUGAUACCUACAGGAACAAACACGUUCAGACCAACCACUCAGUUUAUACGUACACGGAUCAUCCAUGCAAUUUUAUCCAUAUUGUUAAUAAUUAAUACUAUAGUAUAGUGUAAGUCAAUAGAAGCGUAUAUGGGAGUAGUGUGGUACAAGUUAAUACGCAUUAACAAGACACUUCUAUAAGGAUUGAGGUAUUUAGAUGUUAGUAAAAGAGUAAUGUUAUAUUAUCAUACUAAUCAUUAUAUAUAAUAAGAAAAAAUGACAUAUGUAACUUAUAAAUUAAUUAUUAAUAAAUAAAGUAUCACAUUAUAAUAUAUGUAACUUACUUUCUUGUAGAUAAGAUGUUAUAUCUAUCGUUUUCCUUAAAGUUAUGCAAACAAUUUAAGAAGACAAAAAUGAUGUUAAAGUUGAAUAUAAUUAAAGUAAAUUAAACUUAUUUAAUGCAUAUUAGAAACUGAAAUAAAAAAUGGAUAAAUAUGAGGUGAAAAUGAGAAAUAAGAAUAUAAUUAGAAAGUAAAUUAUAAAUUUGUAUUGAGUUUCUAAAACAUGAAAAAUAUAAAAUAACAUGAAGAAAAAAUAAAUACAUCAAAAGUUUUGAAAUUUAAGGAUUACUCACGGAUCAUCCAUACAAUAGAAAAAUGCACAAUUAGUGAAGAAUAUGCACGUGUGAAAAAAAAAAGAUUAAGAUUAUUCAAGAGAGAGAGAAAAUAAUUAAGGAUUUUGUACAUUUCUUUAUUUAAAAAGAUAAAUAAAACAUAUUUGAAAAAAUAUUUUAUUUUUUGUUAAAAAUAAUGUAAAAUGAUAAAAUAUUACUAUUACAAUCACUAUAUUUCAAUAUAAUAUCCUUAAAAUUUUCUUCCCCACGAUUCUCAUAUAAUUAAUUAAUGUUACAUGAAUUUUUCAACUAAUAUAAUAGAAAUAUAAAUUAUAAUGAUGAUAUACAAUUGGGGGAGUGAAAGUCAAUUUUGACAAAACUGGUUUCAAUACAAACGACCAACAGUCUUCAAAAUGCAUGACUCAACAUAAAACUUAAUUUAAGACUCCCCUAAAACUAGGGAUGAGGAUGCCACAAACUCCAUGAAUAGGUGAUAUAAAUGACAUGAAUUAUGUUUUGUUUUUUAAAAUCAUACAUGUGAUUUAAAAAAGGAGAAUGAGAGGGGAACAAAUGAUAGUUGGUAUAUAUUAUAUUGAGAAAGAGGUGAAUAAAUGAUAUAAUAAAUAAAAACAUAAGUAAAAAAUAAUGUGUAAUUAAAUCUUAGAUAUCAAUAACAUUAAGAAAUAUUGUGCCCAAAAAAUAACAUUAAGAAAUUUAUUAUAAAAUUAAAAAAUUGGGAAAACCUUGAAACAUUUUUUUUUGUAUGUAGAAGAGUAUAUUUUAUCUUAUGAAUAAAAAGCUAAUAUUUUUAGCUUUUAGCUUGUGUGACUAAUCUCUCAACGAAUAUUGCUCAUGAAUCGAAUCUUUUACUUUUUCAUCUAUUUGGGAUCCAUUGAUACUUUACAGUACUAAACUGAUAUGGGAGAAAGUUAUAUCUAUGAACACAUUAUUUCCUAUACUAUUAAAAAGGAACAUUUAUUUUUCAUAUUUAUUGUUCCUCCUGUGUAGUUGGCUGUUACCAAUUGAUAUGAGAGAGGAGGAAAAAGGAGAGAUGGUGAAAGUGAGCACAAUUCGAGAACAGCAAACUUUCAUGUCUCAUUGCUUCUGUACUUACAUCUACUAUAUUUUAAUUUAGAAUUUAUGUCAUGAAGUAAAAGAUUCCAUAGAAAUUAAAACAUAAAGAAAAAAUGAUAAUAAAUGUUUCUGGAGCGGAAAAUGAUUUUUUUCUUCGUGAAACAAAAAACAAGAUGAGGUAAACAAUUAUAACACUCACAUUGCCAGUUAGAGAAAGACAGAAGAAUCAAAACCCAAAAUGAUGUAAGUUGCAUCUGAACUUACUACUGGUCCCAUUUCUUGGUUCAAUGAUCAUGUUUCUUUCCUCACUUUUUCCUAUUUCAACUACUCUAUGUGGGCCGUUUAUGCAGUUAGUUUAAUCAUAACUAAUAUUUGUCCCGAAUGUAAUGUGAAUAGCAGUAUUUCUUGUAGUUUCCAUAGUUCAACAUAAUUACGAUAUUUUUUUGGCUCAAUUUGUGGUAAAUAUAAUAUAAUCAUAAUCACGAUCGUAAUUUAAAACACUGGCAGAAAGAUAAGAGUGAAGGAGAUGGAAGGGAUGAACCUGAUUUCUCGAUAGUCCAGUUUGUCGUGACAACAGAUGCUUAUCUGCAUCGCUUGGAUACCUGAGAAUGACACCAGAAAAUGACAUGAGAGUCCUUGAUUGCCCUAAUCGUAUAAAGAAACACCAACCUUUUGUACUCCUAAGCUCUGUCUCAAACUUUUCUUUCUUUCCUUUCACGAGGCGUGAGAAUCUAAGAGAAGAAAGAAAAGAUCUACGUCCUCUUAGCUGCUAUUGCAGCAAGUAAAGUGGAUCACUGUACACACUGGCCACUGUUCCCACUUUAUUUUCCUUUAAUCAGAUACUCUAAUUACUGUUUGUGAUUUUUCUAAUGCAUAUGUUAGAAAGAGAUCAGAGAAAGAUACCAAGAAAUUUUAGGUAAAGCAGUGAUGCAGAUACUAUAUCUAUCUUCACAACUUUUCGCUGGCUAAGACAACAUUAAAGGACACUGCAAUUUUACUGUUGCUCUAAACGAUCAUUUAUUCAUAUGCUUACGGCAGACAUAAAUAAUCGCUUUUAUAUAGAUUUUCUCUUUCCUUCUGCCACUCUCUCCCUUUUCUCUUUUUAAUUAACUAAAUCCCUUCUGCUUUUUCUUAGUUUCUAGUUAAUUAAUAAUCACAUUAUCUACUUUAUUCUGUCUUAUCCUUUCCCCCUUUUAAUUAUAUUUUGUUUGUACAUCACAUAUCUUUUUAAUAACGUGCAUAUUUUUCUCCACCAAAAACUUCUAUAUACAUAUGGCAACAUCCAUUGAGUAUUGAAUCUUUUGGUACUAGAGAAAAACGUAUAUAUCGUAAGUGUUUUUAUAAUGUUAUAUUGGUGUAGUGGUAUAAGAUUAUACUAAAUUUAUAGGAUGAUUAAUAGAUUAAUAAUUCGAUUCAUGUAAUCAACGUUUGUUAGAAGAAAUAGUCACACACCCCAAAAAAAUUAGUUUUUUACGUUAAUAUUUAUAACUUUAUCAAUUUUUAUUUCAGAUAAGGGAUGGUUGGGGAUAGAACAAAAAAAAAAUGGCAUGGUGAAAAUAACAAGGGAGGGAAAAGCAAGAACGUACGGGUGGAGAAAAUGGUCGAAAAGCCAGGCUCUCAAAAUGUUAACAGAUCUAUCAGGCAACCCUCUCUGUGGUCUCCAAGCUUCUUGUUCCAUCAUCCCGAUUUGAUUGAACACUCUCUGCUGUCUUAGGCUUUGUUCAAGCAUCUUAAGCCUUGGUGUCUCUCCCUUUGUCAAACCUGAUGAACCACUUCCAUCUUUCUCUCCCAGCACCUCACAACUAUGCUUCAUUUGUGCUGUUAUUGCAUCCUUCAGGCAUCUGAAAUGCCUUGACAUUGCUUUCUGCGCCAAACCAGUGUAUGGUAUUGCUGCUCCAAAACCCAUUACUAUAUCGAAUGAGUUCACUACCAUUUGCAUUUGUUCGCAGUAGUGGUUGUAUCUCCGCUCCACCUGAAAAUUCCAAAACAAACUUUAUUAUUACUUUAUUUACAAUGUCAAAUAUCUAAAGCAUGAUAUAUUGGUAGAAUAGCCAUUUUAUCAAAUAAAGAACUUGAUGGAAUUGUACAUGCACGUUUUCAUUUACUCAUUCAUUGUUGCCCUAUGUGAAAAGAUGGAUUGACCAUCUUAGUAUUAAUUAAGAAAUGCAAAACACAAUUGUGUUUAUUAAAUUGUUAUGGGAAUUUAGUCCUCGCUCAAAUAAAGAUUAAUUCCUUAUCAAAAAAUAAAUAAAUAAAGAUUAACUUAUUAUAUUUAUGAGCGGACUUUAUUAUACCUAUAUAUAUAUAGAAAAUAUUUAAUUUUAUAUAUUAAAUAAAUAAUAAUUUUUGGAGUUAAUAAUGAACUGAACUAAUUGAUUAAUGAGUUGAAUUAAAAAGUUCGUUACUCUUAAUUAAGUUGAACAGAACUGUGAUUGGAAUCAUUUUCUACCCUAAAUAUAAUUGUUAAUAAGAAGGAAGAAUAUGCUUGGGUUUCUUUUAUCUUUUCCUACAAAAAUAAUAACCUUGGGUUUCUUUUAUCUUUUCUUACAAAAAUAAUAACCUUGGGUUUCUCUUUCUGCACUCUUCAGUCUUCAUUAACUGAUAGGCUUGUAUUUUUUAUCAGAAAAUCGAUAGGUUUGUAUAAUCAAAAUUAAAAUCUAAAGACUGAAUUUAAUCUAAAAAAUAAAUAAAGAAAAAGGGGGUCAGUAUCCCUGUUCUGGUCAACUGAAAUAUCAUAACAAUGGCUUUCACUGCAAUAUUACUAUGAUGGGUAUGGAUCUGUGUGGUGGAAAGUGGGCAUUGAUAACAACCUGCUACUUAACUUUAAAUAUGGUGAGUGAGUGCCUUUCUUUCUUGCUUCUGUUUGGGUAUGUGUCUUUCUUAACAAUCAGAAGGAAAGUCGCUUCUUGAUGGACUUAUUCUCGUAAUAGGUUGUUACUCAUGGUUUUCACCAAACCAAGCAAACCCAAAAUACUAUAAUAAAAUCAUCCCCACCAAUCAAAUCACUAAAUUAUAAAAACGGGUUUCUAUUAAAAUAAGUAACAAAUCCCUCCCAACAGGAACCAAUUGAUCAUAGCUAUGUGAUGGAAAUGGAACCCUACUCUACUAUACCAGCCAAUUUUUUUCCUUGGUUUAAAAAUUUAAAUAAAUCCAAAGAUACGAUCCGGACAAGCGUGUGUUUUAUUAUUCCUCUUCUUUAUCAAAUUUAAUAAUGUAGUAACCAUAAAUUAAAUAAUAUGGAAUAUGGAAAAAGAUACUGGGGGACCUUGACUCUUGAAUGAUGAGAGAGGGUCAAGAAAGGGAGAGAAGAGAAAGAUUACAUGCCUCAUCAAACAUCGAUAGAAAUUUGACCUUCCUUCUCUGAUGCUCAAUCCUAUCUGCCGCAGACAAUGUUGUAGGAGGAAGAGGAUCUUUUGAUGAAGGUGAAUUAGAUGGACCACCGCCACCGGUGUUUAAAUCAUUAGGGUUUGAGUUCUGUUUACUGAACUUGUUCUUCUUAAACUGACCCCUCCCAACACUGCAAAACUCUUCAAGCAAUUCUUGUGCAGCUUUAACAUACUUUGAGUUUCUCAUAACAUUCACUAUACCUAAGGAUGAUGAUGAUGGUGAUCCGAAUCCAACAUGAUGUCCCUGGUGUACAAUAGCACCAUGUAAAUGCAAUGAUUGCUGAUGAGGAUGACUACCGCCAAUUUUCUUGUACGGAUACUGGGUUGAAGAAGAAGAACCCCCAGGUCCAGGUCCUUGAUUGUAAUAUAGAAAACCACUUUCCCCCAUCCUCAAUUCUUCAGCUUUUGCAGCCUCCCAAUGCUGCAACGAAGAGGACAAUGAUAAUGAGAGACCUUGACCUUCCACAACUCCACCAGUUGUGCCUCCUUCUUCAUUAAUGUGAUCAGUAAUCCAUGUGAACUGACCAAAAGAAUCUCCAGCCGUUGAACCGGUAGCGAAACCUUGAAGAGGAUUUGAAGGAGGAAGAGGAGGAGAAGGAGAUCUUGUUUGUGGGUUCAUAAGAAAAAGUUGCAUGGCUUGAUGAGUUGCUAUGUCUGCUGCAUUAUUGAUGCUUGAAAUCUGAGAAUGAUGAUGAUGAUGAUGGCUGCUAUUUUGAUAAUGGUUCUUCGUUGAAUCUGCCGACGGUCCCAAACCAGUUGUUAUUAUCCCUUGUCUGCUUCCGUAGCAUUCGCUACCACUGGCCACUGGUUGUGGCCUCGAUGACCGAAGCGUCGCCGUCAUCUGCUGCUGUUCCAAUAAUUCAGCGACGGUGGCACCGCCAUGAGGAAACUUAAACAUCUCUGACAGCAUCCCUGACGGCAUGAGCCCUCCCUGUUCUUCUUCUAUCACAACUAAUGGUGGUUGCGGUGGAAGUUGUAGUGAUGGUUCAAAGCCUUGUUGUAACCUCACUUUGUCCCUCCGGAUCUGAUGCUCCUGCUGAUGUUGCUGCUGCUGGUCGUGAUGAGUCACUGUGGUUCUCUCGAACCCAUUGGAGAAGGUGAAGAUUCCGUGUUGAUUAUCUUGGGACAUAGAAUUGGAACAAGAUUCACCUGGACUGUCCUCAAAGAUGAAAAAUGAAUGGUGUGUCUUUGAGUGAGGGAGAAUGGUACUUGGAAGUGGUUGUGUUGUUGCUAUUCCCAUAUUAAAUUCUUGCUUCUCCUCAUCCUUGUCAUCUCCUUUUUCUUUCCCUCUCACCUUAUUAUUACUACUGUCCAAUAAUUGAAUUAUGGAUCAGUAAUAAGGCUCAGCUUCAGAAUAAGCAUAUAUAUCAAAAAACACUAAUAGAAGUAAACUAUAUAGAUUCAAUAAAGCUAAUGGAAAUUUAGGAAAGAAAGAGGGUAGAUAGAUAUUAGAUAGAGUUAUUCAUCAAAAGAUAAAGAAUAAAAUAUAUACAUAUAUAUACAUACAUAGGCACAUGUACCUCUUAGAGUUGCAGAGUUUGAAAGGAUGUAAAUCUGUGAGACAUCGUUUUCCCUUUGUGUGAUAUUGAAAGCUUCUUCUACAACUUCCUUCUCUCUCUUUCUUGUUGCCUUGUCGUCUCUAUCACUCCUUGUCUUUCUCUUUGAGGUAAGUGUUUUUCCAAUCACCUUAGCUAAGUUACAUAUAGAAUAUAAAAUUAAGAAUGAAGACUAGGGUUGGGUUGGGGAAAGUGAUGAUACCAUACUUGUUUAAAAUAAGAGAGUGAUAUAUAGAGAAGGGAGAGGAAAGGAAAGUGGUCACUUUAAUUUUCUUAUUUCUUCUCCUCUACUUCGCUCUUCACCUCUCUCUUUAGUUUUUUUGCUUUCCAAUAAUGUUUUUAUAUAUGCCUUUUUAUAAAUAACUCUAUUUGCAUUUAAAAAAGUCAAAACAAGUUUAAAUAUAUCAUGUAACACACAGUAAUAAAUUUCAUAUUAAUUUUGCCUGUCUCGGAAUUCCUUAUAUUCAUAUUAUUUAAUAUGACACAAAAUAAUAAAGUUUAAAUUUAUUGAAAUUUUAAUUAUUACAUGGUCCCCCGUCUAUUCCUUAUUAAGUGACACUUUUAACCGAUAUAUUCGUAAGAGUGAAUGAUUUUAUUAACUCAAAAAUAAAAUUAGCCAACAAAAACAGAUAAAUGAAAAACGAUAAAAUUACAUAAAAAUAUAAAUAAAAUUGUACGCUAAAACAUGUUCUUGGUUAGGAAUGACGUACGACGAAUUACACGAGAAAUUUUAUCUAGAUAAUAAUGGUUGGAAUUAUUAGAAGUCAAGAGCAAGGGAAUCCAAACUGACAUUUUGCGCAAAGUGAUGAUUACGAUGAAUUUGACAGUGUGGAUUUGUAUACCAUUAUCUUGUUAUCUUGUUAAUGAAAAUUAUGAGUGGAUUCUUUCAUAGAAGAGAAGUACAGAUAUGUUAUUAUUAGGGAAAUUUAUCUUUAGUUAUACUGAAGCUAUCAUGGUGUUACGAAAUGACCACAAUGCCAUAGCAAGUAUUGGCUUCUAUUAUCAUUUGAAUGCCGCCUUUGCAAACCAUCUUUUCUGGUAUUUUUCACACUUUGGAAAUGGCACUUGCAGAAGGAAGUACCCAUAACUUUUAGAGAUAAAUCAUCUCAUGGAGUAGUCUUUUUAUUUAUAGUUUUAAAGUAAAAGUGUUUUCUCACUAUAAAUAAAAUGAUACAUACAUGUGUUAUUAUAUUUUGAUUUUUUCUGAUUUUCAAAACAGGAUUCAAUAUCAUGAUAAAUGAAUUGAGAUUUCUAUCUCAUUUUCAUAUUCGAACCCAUUAUACCAAUAGAGUUUGAAAAGUACCCAUAAUUUCUACGUGUUGUGUACUGUGUGCUUUACCCAUAAUAUUGAGUUUUCUCAAUAUUAUUACUCUCACCACCUUUUUCAAAAUAUACAUCAACCUCCCUUGCCUUCAAAUAUAUGGUAUGAUUAUAUAUGCAUGACAUGUGAUUAUCAUAUGGCUAGAAUAACAAAAGAAUAACCCCUUGCCUUUGAUGAACAAGACACUUAUAUAGAUUUUUCAUUUCUUGUUUCACCUUCUACAUAGAACCACCCAACUCUUCCUCUAAAAUUGUGGUAGAUUCGGUCUAUGCUUCUCAAAGGUGUUAGUUUGAAGAAGGAGUUAUGAUGAUCCAAAUGUGUUCCUUCUAUUUGCUGAUGCUCUUGUAGGAUUAUCAAAGGAGAUUUUCUCUACUUAUUUUACUACCCUUUCCACUUGUGAUGCCUUUUUCAGCUUCUAGGAGCUAAUUGUUACCAAGAACGUAAGAAAAUACAGGCCCAGAAGAGCAUAUUGGGCAACGAAAUGGAUAACAUAUGGGCCCGUGUAAAUUAUUUGGGCCAUGUAUUUUCUACCACACACAUACCGAGGUAUCUAACAACCAUGAAAAUUCAGCAUUGUGCAGGAGGAACCGUUGGCAGUAGUUUAAAUUUUAGUGAGGAGGACAAUAACCAUAGACAUAAAGCAAUCUAACUUUGGAAUUUUUGAAUCCAUGAUUGAAAAUUUGAAACUGGUUAUUAGCUCCAUUGGUGCUUGUUUUUUAUAAGUAAGAUUUUAUUAAGAGGAAAAGUAAAAAAAUACAAUCAGGCUAAAACAAUGUAUAUGGAGAUUAAAAAAGAGGAGAACCUAAGAACCUCAACUAACAAAGCCACAUAAAAACAUUGAAAAUAGAACAAAGACCAAGACCCAGACCAAAAAGAGACACACUAAGAGUAAUAAUCCAAACUUAAAAUCAGGUUUGGAGUACAUUCAAAACAAAAAAAUAUAUAUUAGCUAACUUGUGUCUAACCUUAAUUCAAAUCCAAUAUUUGAAUUUGAUAUCAUCUACUACCCCUUCCAAGUUUUCUUCUUUGUUGUUAAAAAGUACGAUAUUCCUACAACUCUAAAGAUACCAAAUUACAAGCAUCUAAAUUAUUGAAAAUAUAUCUUCCAGAGUCCUACCUUCAACCGAAAGAAAAUGGGUAUGACAAUAGUCCUUACCCCAACCACUAAUAUAGAAGCCGUCAAAUUCAAUAAGAGAAAUGGCAAGAUAAAAAUAGAUGAUUCAAACUUUCUUUUUGAGCACUACACAAGCCAUACAAAAGAUUAUUAUUGUUGAUAUUAACACCCUUUUGGAUAAGUUGAGCUUACAAGGAAUUUUGUCCAACAAAAUUCUCCAAACAAGCAUACGGAUCUUCAAAGGCCCACGGAUUUUUAAAAUAGCUUAUAUAUCAUUCGGUCUUCUAAACUAGUGUAACCCUUAUGCCAAAUAACUUUAUAAGUUGAUUUGACUGUAUAAUUUUUUGACACAUUAUGAGUUCAAAGCCAAUAAUCUUCUGCAUCUUCCAUUGGUGCUUGAUAAUGUUUGAAACUGAUUAUCAUCUUUGAUCGAAUCUGUUGCUUCCAGGUUGAAGUGCCUUAAAACUCAAAUGCUGCAACGGGCAAAGGAAAUAAAGGUUUUUGUUUGGGAUAAUUAGUUUGACGAUAAAAAAAAAAGCUUAAAGUUCAAACUUAAUUGGAGGAGAAAUUUGAAAGCAUAGUUGAUUGAUUGAAUGUAAUCACCACUAAAAUCCGUAAGCAGUAAAAGCACAUUUGCCAGUUAGAGAUUACCGAGUAAAUAAAGAAAAUGAAAAGUGUAGAAAUUAUGAAUCAUACAUGUGAAAUGACUAUUACGAUUUUACUUUUCCUUCCUCCUUCGCUUAAAAUAAAAUAUUAUUGUUUUAUGCUGCUUCAUGUUUUGUUGCUAGGUAUGAGAUUUGUAUGAAGUGUGAAUGAGGAUACUUUAUCCAAAAAAAACUUUGUUCUUAUAUCUUUGACCAAUAGCAUUUCCAAAAUAAUAUAAUACAUUAAUUUAUUUCUUUUAUAAAAAAUAUUCCCAAUUAAAUAAUAUAUUUUGAUUGACUUGAUACACCGGGAAUAUCAAUGAAUAUAAGAGAUCUUCGUCAUGUUAGUAUUAAGUAAUCUUGCUAUCGUGAAAUUCAAUUAAUACUUGUCCUACUUCUAACUUUGUAUGCCGCAUUAAGUUGAAACCGGGAUUCUAGGGAAGUUUGUUCAUCUCCAUGGGCACAUCACUUUUUUUGUUUCUUUUGUGUUUCUUCAAAUACGAUCAUGUUCCGCGUCUAGUUCCCUCUCAUCUAUUAUGUAUACUCUACCACCCAAACACGUUCAAAUCCAUGUGCUUCUUGCACCAUCUAUUUAUCUAUCUCUUUUUUCGGCCAUGCAUCUUAUUAUAUUUCUCACUCUAUACAACCUUCAUUAAAAUAUAAACGUACAGUUUGACCAUAUAAUUUUUCCGAUUAAAAUAUUAUUAUAAUACCAUUAACUCCCGUAACCUACGUUCUAGAACAUUUUUAUUUUACGUAAUUUGGUAUAUAAGUUUACUUUACAUUAAGGAAGGCCCCAUUGUCUUACACUUCGUGGCAAUUUUUAAUGUUUCUACAUUCAAAUUGAUGAAUAUUUCAUCUGUUACAAUGUGGAGUUCCUGAAACUAUGAUGGUUCUUCUUGGAUUUAUUACGUCAAAGUCUCACACUAUAUGACGUAAUGAAGAAGAGUGAGAAAAUUUACAGUAAAAAAAGACCUAUGAAACUAUUAUCUUAAGGUUUUUGUUCAAAAUAUGGUAUCUCGUUUAUGUUUCUGCAUUAUUUUCAUGCCCUUACAACAUUAAGACUCUCCGUUAGUUUGAGGUUCCUAAGUUGUAAACGGGUCUAACGAGUGAUAUUACAACCAAUGGUUCAACUACAACAUAUGAAUUUAAGAGGAACAUACCACUAAGUAUGUGAUACUCAUAUUUGAAGUUAGGAUUGUUAAAUUUAUUGAAGUGUAAAGUAUCACAUUAAACAUGAUGGAUGAUAAGAAAGUUUUUAAAUAGAAAAGACUUAUAAAAUCAUUGCCUUCAAGUUUUGCUUCAAUAUAUUAUAUCUCUUCCUUUUUACCAUACUCAAGCAACAAUAAAAUUCUCCUGCUCAUUGGAUGCUGCACAGUUGAGGAUGGGUCCAACACUACUUAUGGCAAUGCAUCUAGGAUCUCGCACAAAGAAAAUACCAUCUAAAACUUGUACCAAAUUUCCGUGGGUACCUCGAAAUUCCCUUUCAAAGCAUUAUAAUUGUAACUAGUUAUAAAUCAUAUAGUUUUUGAUUGACUUAAAGCUCAUAAUAUAUAAAAUGGACACAUUUCAUAUGUUGCAAUUUAAAAAUAACCCAUGAAUCAAGGACCAUUUCAUAGUUUCAUCUCAUAAUCUUCCGACAAAUCUUUUCUACAUCUAGCUCUAAGAAUAACAAUUUACAGGUUUACAUUUCUGUAUGCAUGCGAGUACAAUAACACAAAUAUUGCCAUGGCGGGGCUCUUUUCAGUAACGAUUCUACCGACAUUCUAGCAUUGAUUCCCAAGAUCAUAUAUAUGCAUCCAAUCUAGUACUUAUGCUUUAACAUUUAUAUCACAUCGAUCAUAAUAGCAGUAGCAAAGCUUGACUUUUACUUCAAUGUUUUCACUUUUAUUCAACUUGGUACGUCGUACUACUAAGCAAUAUCAUGGGCCUUGGAUAUUAAUACCGGAAUUGAAUGUAAGACAACAAAACCAAACCACUAUGGUCAUAACCGCGUAUAUCUAUAAUCUAUUAGGUUUGGGAAUAACGCAUAUGUAAUAGGAGCCAUUCAUAUUACGCACUUCACCGUUGUUGUUAUGAUCUGUCCCACUUAUCUGAUGGUGGGAUAAAAUGUUCCUGCUGAUUAUAAUAGAUGGAGAGUAAAAUGCAUGAGUAUAACAAGCCGUAAAUGUUAGAUAAAAUUCAAGGCAAUAUAUUGCAAGGACCAGAAACUCAUAUGGAUCCUAAAAGCUUUAUAAGCAGCAAACCAAUAAGGUUUUUGCUAAGGAUAAAAUGUAUAAAGAUUCUCAAAUGUAGCCAUUAACACAAUAAUUCAUACAAAAAUUUAAGGAUGUAAGUUAAGGCGGGGGAUUUAAGGAAUGAAGUGAAGAAAAUUGUGAAUUUGAGUCUUACCCAUAGCAAAUUAAAAAAAUGAAGUUAUAAAGUGGUUUGAUGAUUAAAGAAUAACGAAUGGAGUAAAGGAAGUUAAAAAUUCGAAUAUCGUCUAUAACAAAUACUAUCAUAUUAAUAUUUGCUGAUUAAUUUUUUUUAAAGAAACUACCAAUUGAUUAUUUUUUGGUACUGUUUUUUAUUUAAUAACAAAUCUCAAUUUUGUUUUCAUAGAAUAUUAAUAUUUAUAUCAUAAAAAGCGUGAAUUGUUUUUGACAAAAUGGACUAAGGUAAGUUCCACUUGAUACUGAAUAUUUUGACAAAAUGGACAUCCAAAAUAUUUAACUUUAAAUUGUGACAAAAUAUUUCAAUUUAAGUUCUGAUUCGUCCAUAUUUAUUUGUCUAAAUUUUGACAAAGUAGUAGUAGCAAAUCACAACUUAAAGCCUAUAUAUUUGUCCAUUUCUAUGUUAUCACCAAGGAAUUCUACUUAGAAGUAUUUAACCAAGUAUAGAAGUCUGAAUCAUGCCUUCUUAGUAAUUCCAAUAUUAAAACUUGGUGUUAGGCUUGAGAAAGCAAAGAAAUAAUCAAAUAGAUACUAACAUAUCACUAUCUACAUAAAAUUCAAAUUUAAUAAUUUCUCUUAUAACAAAUCAAAAUAUUUUUAUUUCUCUUUUUUUUUAUAUUUUAUCCCUACACGUAUCUAAAUAAAAUUAUUUUAAAAAAACACAACUGGGAAUUGCCAUAAUUUGAUCUUAAAAAUGAUAUUAGUUUUUUUAAUCUUAACAUGUCUCUAGUCAUGACUUGAUUCCAGCAACUUAAAUAAGUAAAUGAAUUAUAUUUAUUCCAACUUAAAUUGAUGGAUUACCAAACAAUCAUUUAGAGUUAUGGUCAACAUCUUUUAAAGUUAUGUUUGGCUUUUGCAAGACAAUAGAAGCAUAAAUAGCGAAAGAUAAACUUGAGUCAUUCCAUUCUUUUAAUACCUUUGCUAUGACAGAUACUGGUCACCGACACACAGGGAUGGUUGCAUUAAUUGCUCAAUUAUUUUAUUUCGUGUAUAUUUCACUAAAAAAGCAAAACCUAACAAGAUGUGUAAAAAGCCAAAAUUAACAGUAUAGUUGGAAAGAUCAUUCACAUACAUACCACAUAAAUCAUUUAAGAAUAUAAUUAAUUUAAAAUAUUUGUAUUUUAUUCAUUAUUACCAGAUGUACCCCGUAACUUGUAAUAAUCAUUUACUACUACCUUCAAGUAGGAGGGUAUAUAUGUACAAUACUAGAUCAAUGCAAUCACCAUAGCGAGCCAGGAGUGACUCCAGCGCCAAUCCCACGGAACAAGCCAUAUAUACUCUUUAUCAAAAUUACUUCUUCCACCAAUAAAAAUUAAAAAAAGAAGAAGAUAAUUAUGUUUAUUUAUGCAAAGAGAAAAAUAAAAUAAUUAUGAAUUAUGACGUGAGCUAGGCCUCGAGAGAGAAACGUGUUUCCAGAAGAUCAUAGGGAGCCCAUAAAGCAUCCAAGGGACAAGCGCGGUUUGCGUCAAGCCUGGCCCACGGCUUUCCUUUGCCACUCCAAUGCAACAGGCUCACCGGGCCCGGAUGCAACUCACGGCAUAGCCCACGGAAGUUAUCCCCACCAAGCCCGUGCUGGUUCCACCUGUGAUCAACCGGGCCUAUAUUUCCGGCGAAUACCAAAAGAAACGGAGGCAAAGACCCUAGCUCGUAGAUCCGCAUUCUCUUCUGUAGUUCCAUCCAUUCCUCUAUCUUUCUCGUGUAAUCUCCUUCCCGCCACCGCUCUAAGUCGAUGACCAUGACGCCGGUGUUGAAGUAGCAGGCCCUGCGGCCCGCGAAGGUGAGCGAGAGAGACGGGUUGGACCAGAAAGUGGGAGUAAAAUAGAAGCUGAAGUUAGCAUUGCAGUAUUCUGGUGCGGCGAGGACAGCGUCACUGGAGAGUGGCGUGGCAGCGAGUUUCGCAAUGUCGUCGACGAGGACGAGAUCGGAGUCAAGGUAGACGAUUUUUUUAACGCAUGGAGGAAGGAGAUUUGCCAUGUAGUUACGAGCGUAGUUGAGAGGACAGUCUAGUGCGGAUCGAAUUGAAGUGGAGAUAAAGCCAGCGACGGAAUCGUCGUCGAAAGGGUAGAAAUGGAAAUUGAGGUAAGGGAAAGAGGUGGAGAGUGUGCGGUUGAGGACGGUGGUGGAGGAGAUUUUAGAGGCGGCGGUGACAAAGUGAAAGAUAAUAUUUUCGGGACAAGAAGAGUGUUGGAGAACGGAGAGAAUUGCAGCCACUGAACCGCGAAGGUAGGUUACGUCGAGUGUCAUGGCCACGUGCACUUCAUGGGGUGAGCACGUGAGAUCGAUGGAGGGGCAGUUAUAAGAGUUGUAGAAUUUUGGGGCUUCUUUGAAGCGUUGAGCAGAUGUAUAAGACGAGAAGAGAAGAAAGAAAGAAAUAAAGAGAAUAUGAAUGGUCAUAAUGGAUGCCAUAAUUUCUCUGUGUGUGUUUGGUUUUAAUAUGUGUGAGGAAAUUAAAUACGAUAUGGGUCCAAGGUUUGAUAAAAAAAACCAUUUGAGUUAAAGUUUUAAAGAUUAGACAGAGAGGGAAGUGGGUUCAAACCUUCUACCCUCUCUUCUUGCUUUCAACAUGUUGAACCAAAGUUUGGUUAAAAAAUGGGAUACAUGCCUCUUUCGGGCAAUUAGGACGAUCAUAUGUUUUAAUGUCUCAUUUUCGAUCUCAAACUAAUUAUAUAUUAAUAUGUGGAUAAUCUUUUUUUUAAACAAAAAAUAGUAAAAUAAAAUACUAUAAUUGACUUAGGAGAUAGAACGAAACAUUGUUUGAGAGAAAUAAUCUUCAUCCCUUAUUUCAAUAUAUCAAGUCAAUAAUAUUGGGUAUUUCUCCAUAUUCUCACCAUAUUGUUCACGAGGAGGAAUUGUGUGAGCUGUUAAUUAAUAAUUAUGUUUUUAAGUAUGGAUUUAAUAAUGACGUAAUGAAAGUGGAAAAGUAGUUGUUAGUUCAAUUUCAAUACACCAUUGAUAUAUAACAUUCAUAUAUAAAUAUAUGAAUAAUUUAUAUACUAAAAUGCUCAAGUCAAGUAGGAUUAUUUGUUAGGCUUAAAAUAAAGGUUGGAGUGUUAUACCUUAUGCCAAGAUUCUUCUUAACGAGUAUUUAAAAUAAUUAUAUUUACAUGAAGUUGAACGUAAAACUUUUAAUCAGGUUAAAAUAAUUGUAACCAAUCUACGUGUAUUCACAGUAAAGUAUAAAAAAUAUUGUUGGACAUCAUAUUUUAAGUGUUAAAGUAAUAUAACUCCAUGUACCCAAAAAAAGAAAGUAAUAUAACUCCAAAUUUGUUUUGUGGCUCUUACUAAUUUCAUUUCAUGUUUUAUUACCAGCUUUUAGCCUGCGCCAUGCAUGGGAUGCUAGAUUUUUAUGUUAUUUAUUUAGUAUUUAUGAAUUUUAAUAUAUAAAAAGUAUGGUAGCGUUGAUUGCAUCUUUAGGUAAGUGUUUACAUUUUUUUUAAAAUCAUUUAUUUAUUAAAUUGAGAAAUUAUAGGAAAUAAAAUAUGCACAUUAAAGGUAGAAGAAGGGAUUAGAUAAAUUCUAGACUUUUAGUUGUAUAAAUAUUAAAAAAAAUUAGUAACCAUGUAGACACAUGGCUUUACUCUUUAAAAUAGCGAGGAAAAUUGUGUGAGGAGCAAACUUAUUAAAUUAUUAAUAGGGGGUCAAUUUUAUUUGUUUUCAAAUUUCAGACGCGUGAUAAUGUUGAUUGUAGAAUUUUAGGUAAACGUUUCCAUGAAUGUUUUAUUUUUCUCAAACCAUUUUUAUUAAUUAGAGUAAUGAUUAUAUGAAAAAAUUUAUUCAUGUUAAAAAUAUAGUUACGAUGUACACGUGUCUUUGCUCUCUGUCCGGGAAAGGCUUUUAAUUGAAUGAGAAUAUAGAAAGUUAAUUUGGAUUUUUCUAUAAAAAAAGGAAAAUAGUGAGGAGAGUAAAGUUCUUAUAAUCGUUUUUUUAUAGACAAAAGAUAAAUUUAUAUUAAAGAAAAAUAAUUACAAAUGCUGCAAGAUAAAAAUACAAAACAGAGAGAUAUAAGAAUUGAUUACAAACCAAUGUUAAGGCAAUAAUCAUAAUUUUAAACAACGGGUCAUCUCCUCCUUAAUUAGGACUUGGAGGAUUUUAUUAUCUCAACAUUUCAAUGUUUAAUUCAAGAAGACCCUUUAAGAUAAUAUUAGAAUUAAGGCACUCGAAUCCAAAAAAAUAUAAAAAUAUAUAAAGAUGUAAAGCUUCAUAUAUUUUAAUAGAGUCUUUCUUCUGAUUAAAAAAAUUGAAUCCAAAAUCUGAACUGGUAGAACUCCAAGCAAGGGACAUGCUUAAAUAUUAAAAAUCUAAUUUUGAAGUGAGAAGAGUACUACCUAAAGUGAAAGGAACGUCCAAGCAAGGGACAUAUUCUAGAGAGAAGUAAGUAGUAACUAUAGAUUUUUGGAUUAUAAGAAUGUAUUUUUAAUAAUGAUAAAGGCUAUCAAUUCUAAAUUCACAAUUCAAAUUAAUUUAAUUUUAAAUCGAUACUAAGAUUAAAAGAGAAAUAUUUUUAUUAAAAACUAUCAUUCUUUAAUUUUAAUUAUAAAACAUUAAUUCUAAAAAGAGAAUUUAUCGUUUAAUUCUUCAAAAACUUGUUAACAUGAUUAUUUCCAUUCUCAACUUAUGAAAACAAUAUACUAAAUGGCAAAUAGUCUAAGAAUCAAAAGGUUAAUUUUUAAUCACCAGCUGUGUAGGAAAAAUUUCAAGGGUCAUUUUCGCUUAAGGGGAUGUUGAGUUCAAGACUAUAAUUUAAUUGUGUUAAAUACAUUUAUUUAGAUCAAAAUAUAUUUUUCUCUCACACAAUUGUUGCUUUAUUUUUUAAUUCAUUAAAUACACUACGUUUCAAUAUAAAAAUUAUAUUUUUAUUCUUAACCAAUAACCGAACACAAAUUUAUCAUUUUCAUUCAUAAAACCUAAAAUAGUUUCACCUAUAUGAUCCCAUCGUGUCAUGAAGUUAAGCUCUGUGUCGAGUUUAUUAGUGAGUUAGAACAACUAUAUUACGAUUAAAUUGUUGGGUCCGACACGCCUAAUAACUAGUACAAAGUUGCAUUUAUUAUUUUUUCUUAGUAUAUGAAAAAUGUCUAUUAGUAAGAAAUUAAUCCAUUUUGAUGUGUGUGACUGUCUCAUCUAAACAAGUGUUAUUAUCAUAAAUCGAAUCAUUAAUCUUUUGAUCUUUUUGGAGAUUUAGUAGGAUCUUACAUCAUUCGACCAAUGACAUAAGUAUACAACUCUAUUAUCUUUAUCAGGUGUUUUCAUGUUUGAUGGAUGUGCUCACAUUGGCAACAUGUGCUACACAUGACAAAGCAUUCCCCUAUUAUUGGAUCGGGUUCCAGUUGGAGUUUUAUACUUGCUUUAUAACUGAUUUUCUCUUUAAUUAUCACGUGGUAGGUUUUAUAAUUUCAUGAUAACAAUGAAAGAGAUGUGAGGUGAAGGAGGGAAAAUUAUACUCUCUUGUUUAUAAUAACUUAUCUUUCUUGUAUGAUGAGAAAUACAUUAAUAAGUGGGGAUAUGAUAAGUCAAAAUGAUAAAUAUAUCUUUAACCCUAUAGUUCAUUAAACCAUAAAUUAUAACAUAAUACAUAUUUUUUUCAAUUCCAUCUAUUUAACCAUCCAAACAUUGUUAUGAUAUCUUAUAAAAAUAAAAUAAAUAAUACAUAUGCUUAGUCCUAUUUGCAUGAGAAAAAUUAAAAUAUCACCGACACAAAUGGCUUGAGUGGAUCUGGCCACCAAAGACGGCCUGAAAAGUCAGCUCUAAUUAAAAGGGCCAAGCUCACUGUAUAAACUAUUAUAUAUGAUUGACACAUUCAAAGCUAUAAUAAAAAGAUUAAAAAUACCAAAACUAAGUGUGUUGCUUCUAAACACUAAAUUCUCAGUAAGUUUCCGACAAUUUUUACAAGUAAACUGAGCCGCAAUAUUGGACUUAUUUCCUAGUAGUUGUGGACUUGUGGGUGUGACUGUGUCCUGUAAUAAUUCAUUGGGCCACCUCCUAAGUAGAGUUUUGAUGUUUUUUCAGCAGCACUUUCGCGUGUGUUUUCUUUUCUUUUCUCAAGAGGAUACUCAAAUUGAGUAAAGUUAUGAAGUGAAGGAAGAACGAUGCGUUUUUAUCAUACACAUUAGUAUUUUAUUUCUUUUAUUAUUUGGUCUGUAGGUUUUAUUGUAGUAAUACUUUAGAUUACAAAUAACAUCAUUGUUUCAUUAUUUGCCCCCUUUUGUACGAUGAGUUGGGUUAUGACGUGUAACUUUCUCCUACAGGGAUGAGUUGCGGGUAUAAUUUGCUUGCUAUUCUUCUACUAACUCAUUUGAUUUUUGUGAUGAGUUUGAACAAAAAUUAGGGGCAAAGCAAUAUAAACAUUAAACAGGGCAGGAAGAAUUUAAGGAGUUUCCUGGUAUUUAAUUGACUCUGGAACUCUCAGGAAGAAAGGUACAAUUUGUACGUUAGGUGCUAUUAUUGGGCAAAAAUUGGACCAAGUUUCCAAUAAAUGAUGAUUGACUUCUUAUGACUCUAAUUUUUAAGUUGAUUCCUACCAGAUCCUUGUAUCUUUUUCUCUUAUUGGCUGAUCCACUAGUAGUACUUCAAACAAGCCUCACAUGACUUUGCACAAUAUCUUCUUGGUAAAACUACUGGCUUCAUCCUUCAAGAUAUUUUAUUCUAUUUCAAGUUGCUACUAUAACUUUUUAUAUUUAAAAUAGGUUUUCUAAAUUAUUUUUUAUUUUUAAGUUGGUUUAAAAUUAUUUUUCAAAAUGGUUUUAUAAAUUGUAUUUGUCUUAGAUUUGUAACCUAUAAUCCAUUUUUUAAUGACGCAGUUUCAGAAAACUGAUAGAACAAUUUUAAAGAUUGUUUUAUAUUUGAAUCUCGGUGACAUUAAGAUUGUAGAAUUUAGUUGAUAACUCAUACAGUUGAUAAAAUAUUUAUUGGUAAAAUCAGAAUAAAAAAACUUACAUGACAAAAAAUGUAUAUACAUACACAAUCAAAAUAAAGAAACUCUUUCUUUCAAACAUCAUGAUAUUAUCAUAAUUAUUUUCUGUAUUAUUUCAUCCACGUCAAAACUGACUUCUUUGUAUAAAAAAAGGCCUAGUAAUCCUCAAUACAAUGCACGGGCUUUAGCUACUACUGCAUCACAUUCCUCCUCAAGAUUUGCCACACAUCAAAAACCAUGUGACACUUGUUAUUAAUUUAAUUUUCCAUAGUUUUCUUAAUUUCGUCGAACAGAGUUUAGCUUUUUAUUUCUUAACAUUAAUUCAGUUCCUCCAUAUUGUAACAAUCAUUAUGAAACUGUUGUAGUUGGUGGCACUAUCAAUAAUUAAUGCAAAAAAGUUUAUUGAGGAUCUUUAUUGAGCUUGAUCCUCCACAAAAUUAGCUGAAAAUAAACAUCCCUGAUAGAGCAGUCAUUUUUCAUAAAUUUUAACUGAAAAAACUAGAGAAAAAAUAAUAACUUUUUAAAUUUACCCUGCACAGAAGAAAUGAAGUGAUUCCAGGAUCAGUUACUGGCUAUGCUUCUAAGUUCAGAACAUGUGUGACAAAUGUCAACUAGUUGUCCUCACUUCUCAAAAAUCAAUUGUUAUUGGACUCUAACUGAAAAUUUUAACAAGCCAUCUGACCACACAACAGUAGAGAAAGCAUCAACCCAACAGCACAAGACAGUAAUAACUUUAUAUCACCCCAAAUCGAUUGAUUGUAGUGGUGGAUGGGCUGACAUAAGAUGAAAAAUGUAAACCUUCCACUAGCCAGAGCAGCCAAAUCCAUAUAAGCCCUUAACCAAAUAAACUGGUCCCAUAUUUAAAGGAAGCUAUGAUAUCCUACAAAUAUUCGCCAAAAAGAAUAUAUAUCUUAUUGUCUAUUUGCGAGUUGAUUUUUAGAAGGAAAUGGAGAAAGUGAAAAGGCUUAAGAAGCAUAAAAUACACUUGUAAGUAGACUCUCAAUCAUUUCUUUUUCAUUCAUUCCCCUCCAAAAUCAAUUCGCAAUCAGACCCUAAGAGCUAAAACAACAAAAAAUAAUAACUAAUAAUAUACUCAUCUGCAUCUGCCUACUUAGACACUGGAUUAGUGGAUUGGUAAUGAGUAACCCUCUCUAAAUUUGCAAUGUCUAAAACAUGUGUGGAGGUACCCAUAAACUGCAUAGACCUAUAACAUCAAAACAGUAAUGGUCCUCGGGGACUUGUCUCACUGACCCUAAUUGGCCAACAAUUUGAUGAACCUGACAUAUACUGGUGAUUAAUGUAAUCACUGUCCUCAUAUGUUUGAAUUCUUUAGACAAUCCCAAACGAGUUUUAAGAAGUUCCUAAAAUUUACAUUUCUGUUCAUAAUGCUUGCAUCUUUCCAGAGUUCUAAGACCAAAAGCUUUGACAACUACACCAAUAGAGAAAGUGAGAAACAGAAAGUUGGUGGAGAGGAUUUUAUUGUCAUUAUUACUGAAAAGAUUAUGACAAUUUCAAGUUCCAGCUGUUAAUUUGUACCACCUACUGGUUUAUAUGUAUAUUGAUCUUCAAUGGAAUUAGUCUGCAAACAAAACUAACCCCAUCACGAUGGAUGUAUGGUUUACAAUUCCAUCAAAAGUAGACCUAAAAAAAUAUGCAAAUAUACCUCAACCUGACACCUUUUAGACAUCCUAGAGCUUCUAGUUUUUCAAAAGUACACCCUCUCCACCAGCCUUUAAGUAAGGCAAAUAAUAUUGUUACCUAGCAGCAAUGAAGGAAACUAACUCUCCAAAACUGACAGAUAAACUUGUGCUACUACUAAAUAGCAACAGCGCAGUAAAGAUACCUACCAUUUUACCAGAACUUAAAAAAUCAACAAGAUUUUUCUGGGUGUGAUAAAUUGCAAGGUCAAAUAUGAGACUAUACAGAGAGAUCAAUUAUUUCAAGAUGACAAAAAAGUGCCAAAAGAUAGAGUAAACAACAAGAAUUCACAAGAAUACAAUUCCCUCAACUAACAUAUUUACACAUACUAUUACUCCUUUAUAGAAGAAAAAAAAGAAUUACAACAAGUUGAAUGCAGAAUGGUUACCAGUUUACCACAGAAAAAUAACAGUAAGAAGGACAAGAAAACCAACCAGCAAAAGCAGAUUCUUCAAAACUUUGUCCUCCUGCCCCUGCGCCCGACCAGUUUCCUGCCAAAAACCACGCACCCCCCUUCCAUGAAAUGCGUUAAACCCAAAGGGAUAACCCGACGUCAUCCCGUAUACAGUGGCAUCUUGAAACCCAUGGAAUUGAAUGUUGAGCAGAGACGGAAUAAACCCACCGAAUGCAGUAGAAAGUGUUAAGUUCCCAAAUCUAGCAGUGGCCAUAGGAAUAAACCCUCCUAUCAAUCCAAACCCAUAACUCCCAAAUGGGUUAACAGCCUCGGGAUGAGGAGGAGGAGGCGGCGCUGUCUGUGGCCUCUGCCCCGAAGGACGAUGAGGAAUCUCCAUUCCAGGAUAUGACUUAGUUCUCGGAUCAGUCUGAUUCUUUCCUCUCCCAUAAAGAGGAACCAAUUUCUCUUCUUGCACGAGGGCCUUGCAAACGGGACACUCUUGUGAAUGAGAGUGAUGAUGGAGCCACUGGUAUAGGCACGGCCAACAGAAUAAGUGACCACAGAGAGUGAUGACUGGAUCCUGAGCUAAAUCGAAGCAUAUGUUGCAUUCAAAAUCACCAGCAUCGUUGUUAAAAUUGUUAUUAAUACCUGAGCACGAUGGGUUCGGUGAAGAAAACGACGUCGUUGAUUCCCCAAAAUCACUACUCGCCAUAUCUCUAACCACUCAAAUCUUCUUCAGAGGUACAAAUCUAACAAUUAACCAACAUAGGUAAAUCUCGCAACGUCAUAAAACAAGACAAGAAAUCAGAGAAUUACACAGAUUCAGAGUUUUCAAUUAGAGAAACAAUCGAGGGGUAAAUCUAGGGAUUGAAAUUGACAAUUAGGGGAAAACAAAGCAGAGAAUAAAAUAAAUGUAGGAACAGACACACAAAUCUCACCAGAGAAUUAAAUAAAAAAUUGUAAAGAGAACAUGAAUUGGAAUAUCGAGAACAAGGGGUUGAGAAAGAGAGAGAGACUUACGAAUUAGAAAUGGGGGAAGACAUUGGUGAGGCAGAUAGAACAGAGAAAGAGUUUUGAUUAGAAGGUCAAUUUGUCACCGAAAACUUUCAACAAGAUUCCAGGUUUUAUCUGAUAUGAUGUUCUUGGCAACUAGUCUCACACGCAACAUUUUCUUAUUCUUAUUUUGAAUGUAUUAUUAUUGUCCUGCCUCUAAACCCAUUUUCAUAUCCUUUAUAAUAUAUAGUUUGUAUGUGUCAUAAAUUACAAUAUAAUAUUUUGUGUUAAAUAUUUAUUAUUUAUAGUUGAAUUUAUUCGAUAUAUGUAAUGUUCAAUUUUUGAACAUUCAUAUUUUAUAUUAAAAAACUGAUAGUUAUAAUGUAAGAAAUAAGAAAUAGUUAAUCAAUUAAUAUGGAACAUACAUCGGGUGAGAUAAGCAUUAGGCUAUAUAUGAAACCCACAAAUUAUAGGGGUUAUUUUGAGUUUUUAAGUAGUAUAAAUGCACAUCAAUUGUUAUACUUUAUUCAUCUUUCUAUUUUUAAUAUCAAAUAUAUAACUUUGGUUAUUCUUUAGGAUAUUUAGUGUAUAUAUAUUUUUUCUUCUUUUAAGCUUUAGGGGAUGUCUAUUGUCUACAUGUACAUGUAUGUCAUUUUCGGAUGUAUAUCUGCGUGAAACUACAUGUGUCAUGAUCUUGUGAUUGAUUAAAAAAUUACUUAAAAAUUAAAUUUUAAUUUAAAGAUAUUUUUCAAUUAAUCGAAAGUCAUUUUCACUUCCGAUCUUUUUUCUAAAAACUAAAAAAUAAUCCUUAUUUUGAUUGGAGGAAAUAUUUCUCAUAUCAAAAAAUAUUUUAUUCUCCUUCUCUUUAUAUAUAUAUAUAUAUAUCAUUAUUAUUUUAGUUUUAGUUAUGAAAGCAAAGAAAAGAAACAACUUAUCCAAAUUUAUUGGCUUGCAUUAGCGUCCCAUCCCCACUCCGAGGUCAUAGUCAAGCGGAAGAAGCAAUAAAUUCGAAAAUAAGAAAAUUUAAAUGAGCGAAAGCGAAGAAGCCCACAUUCUCCGGCAUUUAUCUCUCACCUUUCGGCGCCUCCACCAUGAUCGAUAAGGCGGCGUCGACGGUGAUCUCUUCCUUCAACUUCUAUCUCUCCGAACACCCCACCGUCGUCGGAUUCCGAUGGAGCCACACCCAAUGGGGUUCAACCUGGUCUUUCCUUUUCACAUCCAUCGCCGUUUAUAUCCUCUUUUCCCUUUUUCUUCACCUUCUCUUCUCUUUCCUCCUUCGCCGUACCCGACCCGUUCCUCUCGGACCCUUACCCGCUCUUCACAGCCUCACCAUGUCCCUCGUCUCCGUCACCAUCUUCAUCGGAAUAUUCCUCUCCGCUGUCGCAGAAAUCCGAGACACACGGUGGUUCUGGCACCGUUAUAAAACACCGUUUCAAUGGCUCUUAUGUUUCCCACUUGGUACAAGACCCUCUGGCCGUGUCUUUUUCUGGUCCUAUGUUUAUUACUUAUCCCGUUUUCUUCACAUGUUGAGAACCGUUUUUGUAAUCCUACGACGUCGUAGAUUGGCGUUCUUUCAACUCUUCAAUCAUUCAAUAUCCACCUUCAUGUCCUUCAUUUGGCUUGAAUUCUCCCAAUCUUUUCAAGUUCUCGCGAUUCUUUUCACCACUCUGGCGUACUCUGCUAUGUACGGUUACAGGUUUUGGACUGCGAUAGGGUUGAAAAGCGCGUGUUUUAAUUUUGUGUUGAAUUGCCAGGUUGUGUUAUUGGGUUUCAAUUUGGUUUCACAUGUUGGGGUGUUUUUGUUGCAUUUCUUCAAAGGUGGGUGUAAUGGGAUUGGUGCUUGGAUUUUCAACUCUGUGCUCAAUGGUGCUAUUUUGUUGUUGUUUCUCAAUUUUUAUGUGAGAUUGUAUCUUAGCAAAAGGAGGAAGGUUAAAAGUGUGGGUGAUGAGAGUGAGAGUAAUAGUGUCGUAGAAGGAGACAUGCACAAAUUGAAGCCCAAUUAAAGCUUCUCAGGUGAGUGAUGUUCUGUGCUGCAAUUUUGCUGCUUCUGCCAAAUCCCACUUUUGUUAUAAAAACAUAAAGUGAUACGGGUAAAUAUAUAAGGCAAAAUUUAUAGAAAGUUAGAAUUUUGAGUGUUUAUAAUGAUCGGAAUUUAUGUGUAUGACUAUGAUCUCUAUUAAAAAACAAAAACUUUUCCAUCCAUAUUAGCUUAUACUGCUCUGAUUAACUAAAAUUGCAUAUUCAUCAUAUUUGAUAGAGGAGAUUUGUGGUGCUUGCCGUAGAUGAGUGCCAUCUAAACUCUAAGUAGACACAUUCUUUUGGGGUCAUAACUUCUAAAUUUGAAAUCCUAUUCUUACAAAUGAAAGUGGCAUGAGUUCAUGCGUUUUUUUAAAUUCCAAUAUAUGGUGUAUUUUUAGUAAUUUUAUUUAUGAAAUAAGAAGAAACUUAGAAUGUGUCACUGCAAUACAAGGUAAUUCAUGUAGACUGUACAAGUUCUCUUUAGGAAAAAAUAAUUGUAAUGGUAAAAAUCUUACAAAUUUUAGCUGGGAUAUUUUUGGUCGAAACAAAUUGUGUAAGUUUAAGUAUUGCAUACAGUGUGUAAGUGCAUUUUACACUCAAGUAUGCCAAACAUACUAGUAUUAUUUCAGAAUGAUGCUAUUUACGAAGACUGUGCCCUUGAUAAAGGACUUUUUGUUAUUAUUAUAUUAUUGUCUUAAGCUAAUGAAUGCGAUGUUGGUUUAACCUCUACCAUCUCUUGUAUGCUAUUAGGAGUUGCACAAACACAUACUUUGCUGCCACAAGUUUGGCACGACCUCUACCAUCAUCCUUCCUUCAACGAAUGAACCCAAAAUUAGUAUUGAAAAAUGUAAUUAACCCAUCUUGUUUUCAUUAAUAGAUGAUGCAGAAUUGUGAACCAAAAAUCCAUAUUUUAUUAUUGAAGAGAAAUUACCUGGUUGCUUUCAAGUUGGUUUAUGGCCAUGGGUGAAAGUUAGACCAAAUGUUGCAGCUUCUUCAACCAAGGAAUUUUUGGGUUACAUGGGAAAGGAUUCCAACGAAAGGCAUUAGUGUGUAGAAAAAUAUUUUUCGGUAAAUAAUUUUAGGAAUAAAAAACAAAUAACAAACAUUUAUGAAAAGUUAUCUUCUAGAAAUUAUAGGUGGUUUUUAAAAGAAAAAAAGAUGGAGUAUCCAGUAUUGGAUUGUGUUGCUGUAGCUGAUAACGUGAAAUAAGGUUCAAAUAUCAACACUGUCAUAAGGUAUUUUCGUAUCACUUUUAUAUUACUAACAUUAUUGUUAUUGUCACGUGUUUAUUUUAUUACUAUCGAGUUUAGGCGAGUCCCACGUUGUGUGACAAUCCUUCCAUGUUGGGAAACGUUAGUUCGUAACUUUUCAAAAAGGAAUUCCCAAUUUAUUUUUUACUAAAUCAAUAAGUUAGAAAAGCACUUCAUGAAUAAAAACUUGUUUUAAAAUUUAUAAGAGGUUUAAUAAUUUAUAUAUUAAUGUAAUUCUAUCCAAUUUUACCAAACGACACCAAUUAUUAAACUCAAUAGAUUUAAAAAUUAACAUAAUUUUUAUGAUAUAUAUAAAUAUUUUUAUCAACAAAUAUAAAACUCAUAAAAAUAAAUAAUAAUUAUAUAUUUUAAAAUAAAUAAUUAUUAUAAAUUAUUUAAUUUAUUAAUCAAUUUAUAAUAAACAAAUAAAAAUAUAAUAUUUCAUGCUUACUUAAUAAAUUUCAGCUAUUUUCAUAUUUUUGCUAAAGAACACUAGUUUAUCAACUAUCUAUAUAUAAUUAUAAGUGGCCAACUGCUUUUAUUACCCAAACUAUAAACUCAGAGUCUUACACUAAUUUUGAUUAUGGGAACAAAACUUAUUUCCUUUCCUAUGAAAGAAAUCUUUGAAGCUAAUUCUACUUUUCUUUCUUUCUUCAAUAAAUAUAAAUGAGAGAAUACAUGAAAAAACCAAGAGUAAAGUCUAUUCAAGGAUUAGUUGUUAGGUCAUAGUUAUAAAAAUUGUGAACGCGUACGAUUAGAAAAUUGGAUAAUCAAUCCCAUAUUAAUAUGACAUAAUAAUUAGAUCUCCAAAACAAUUAUGGUAUGUAUAAGUGAAAAGUGAUUUAGUUAUGAGAGUAUCCAUCAUUUUACAUGAUUUUCUGUCUUGCCUUUAGAAUUACAAAAAAAAAUCGAGAAAAAAUUGAAUAUGACUCAGUCCAUUAUUUUUGCCGUGGAGAAUAAAAUACAUCAUUACUUGUACUUUUAAAACAUUAUCCAUGACAAACAUUUUGUUUUGACGUGUAUCACAUUUCUUCCAUAUAUUUUUUAUAUUUUAACCUUUUGAUUUAUAUGUAUUAGAACUAAAUAUAUAUUUACAUUUUGUUUUCUAACUACACUCUUUUUAUAAUUCCAUUUUUCAUCACCAUUCCUUCAUUUCUUUUUCAUUUAGUUUUUAAUAUAAAUUAAAUGAGAUUAACUUAAUCAAAUUGUAUCAAAAUUAUAUUCAUUUAAUAAUUUGUUAAACUUCGAAAAUAACCCUAUAUAUAAAAAGAUAUCUAAUCCUACUUGUAAAUUUAGAAUAGCUUUGCUUUGGGUGAUGCAAUACCCUGCCGACACUCCCUUAUCUUCACACGUUUUCUCUCGUGUAUCAUCUUUAUUUAUUAUAUUUAAAUACCAAAUACAUUAUCAUAUCUAACAACUGUGCGAGCCAGAAAUAUAUUUAAAAAUGAAUUAGACAAAAAAAAUAUAUUCAUUUUUUUCAACUUUUGAAGAAGGAAAAUUAUAACUUUAGUUUACUGCAUAGUUACUAAUUUAAAUUUGAAAAAAGUAUAAACAUGACAUUUAAAUUGAAAAAAAUUAAAAGCAAGUAUUGAACAAAUAUUAAUAAUUAAGAUUGAACACUAAUUCAGUAUAUCAUAAAUUAACUUGGUAAAAUUAUGAGAUAUAAAAUAUAAGCAUCUUAUAUAAAUGAAUACAAUUACUCCAUCUCUACUCUUCCAAGGCUGUUGGCUAUCAAAAAAUUGAGAAAUUCCAAAAUGCUGACGUGUGUUUAUUUGAUCAGAUAACACAUCGAGUAGAGUCGAUUAUUAAAAGCAUGAUGAAAAAUGAAUAUAUAUAUUAAUUAGAGAAAUUCUUUGUUUAAAAAAAAACUUUGGAAACAUUUAAUUCGGUCAAUAUGCAAUUGCAACGGAAGUGGAGGUAAUGCUUUCCCGGUCUUCAUGGUGUCAAUAUUUCUGAGUACUCGUAGAGGUAGCGAGUAUUUAUAGGUACCUAACAAGUUUUUAAUUUUAAUUAUAUAUUUAUAUACUUUGUAAUAAUCAAUAUAUAAAAAUAUUUAUUACAUGAAUAAUAUAAUGUCUUAAUUAUAGUCAAAUAUAUGUAAUUUAUUAUAAAAUAAUAAAGUAUAUAUCUAUAACACCGGUUUAAUUUUCUUACUCAGAACACUGCUGUAUAAAAUAGUGAAAAUAAAAUCUUCGAUAUGGCUUCAUAUGAAAAUGUAAAAGAAUUGAACGAAUUUCGUAUGGCUUUAUAUGAAGCUUUACGGAUAUGAAAAUCAAACCACAAAUCGCAAACUUAAAAAGCACCAAAUUCAGGAUUAACUGGCAGAUAAAAGCUAAGCUAAGUGGUCUAGUUCAAUAAUUCAAAAAUUAAAGUGACCAUAUGCUUGAAGGUGACCCGAAUUUUGGACUUUGUUUCUAGUUUUUCAUCAAAGCAACUGAGUCAUGUGAUUCACUUUCCCGUUACCCGCAAAAUACCACCCUAGUGUAUGCAACGAUUUAUAGCUGAAAAGUUUGCCUUUAAAGUUAGAAGUAAUGUAAAUCAUGGAAAAUCGGAAAGAAUACUCUGCAUCUUUGUACAUAAAGCCGCAUCAAGUUCAAACUCACCUUAAGCAAAUUAUUUCUCAACGAUCAGUUUUUUUCUUCUCAUUUUGCUUUCGGUGAUAACUGAACUAAUAUCCUCAAAAGUAAAAAACAAAAACAAAAAGACGGAGGGUCAUUUAACCCCGAAAUGACUACUUUAGGAGUAGCUAUUCGCUAUGUUCUGCUCUCAGUAAAUAUAAACAUUCCAUGUAUUUAUUUUUCCUUGAUGCUCCAAUUAUACCUUCAAAAUCAAUUGUGUUGGGGAGAAUGAUCAAAAUUCGAAGUAGUGGAGGGAGAGCAUGCAGCCCUGAGUUCAUUAUACUUUACAGUGUCAAAAUUGUGAACCCUCAUAAGACGUUUCUGCUUGGUGCUGAAACGGGUUUGGUAGAAACCUUCAAAGGAAGGUUCUUUUGAGGUCCUGAGGAAGAAUGUGUAGCCAGCCAUGAAGUAAGUUGAGGUUAAAUAGAAGCAUAUUGGCUCCAUCACAUCCCAUGUAAGCUCCCAAAAGGUUAGCCUCAUGAGUGCCAUUGUUUGCACUACAAGGAAACCUAACCCGCCCCAUAGCUCGCGGCGAACCAGGGUGUUGGCUCGGGUGUCAAUGGCUGACUUCAGUUUCUCCAUUUCUUUAAAUUCUUUUCUCGCUGACUCGUCCACCUUGCGUCCUUGUUGUGGGAGCAGACUGUGGAUGGCUUUUGUUACCUGUAUCACAAAUUUUACAGAGUUUGGGUAAAAGCUUGUAGCUUAAACUGCUACUAACAUUUGUUUUUUCCUCUAGGAAUCACACAUGACAAACCUAUUUUUAAUUUUAAACUUUUUGCAAAUGUACCUAAAAGGAACAUAAGAGAACAAAACGACUAUAACCUACCUACUUGCACCACGAAAUACCCCUUGCAUCUACCCUCCUAGAAACAAUACCUUAUAACCCCAAUUAUCAUUUAUGGGCAUUCUAAAAGUUCUCAUUUUUUGUCGAAUGUGUUACCCUAAGUAAGGAGAAAGGAUGCCAUAGCCUUAACUAGCACUAUUAAAAAUAGCUAAAAACAAAAGAAUUGCUAGUGACAGGGAUUGCGACUAUAAAUCCAACAUCAAUACUUAUUCACAUAGUGUCUAAUGGCAGUAACUAUAUGGUAUUUUUAUCCUAAUUGAAAAUUUAUGGUUAGUUGGAGCAUCACACCUCCCAGAAGAUCCUAAUUGAACCAAGGUCUAAAUUUUAUUUUUUGGUAAAUAAAACCCCAUAUUUCCCAUUAUUGAAACCCAAAUUAUGACUAAAUUGAACGAAUGAGAAUGAUUGUGAUGGAUGGAAGCUGGUGGGGUUAUUGCAGUCCGUUAAAGCCCCCUAAUUUACCACCUCAAACUGUAGAAUGGUCUACACUUUUUACACCUUGAGAAACAACAAAGUUUCAUUUUCCUGUGGAAGCACACAAAAUAACCAUAAAAACUCAUCAGUUUUCGGUAGUCUUCAAAAAAUUGGGUAAAAAUGCGGCGAUGAAAAAAGACCUAUUUUUGAUCUCCACCAUGACCCUUCUGUAUCAACCCACAAAUUAAAACACAACCCAACAAAACAAAUAAAAUAAUUCUCUAAUAUAAUUACAAGUGAAAACAACAAAAAUCAAAAUCAAAAUCGUAAAAUAAAUAAAUUAAAAGAGAGAGAGAGAGAGAGGAGUUAACCUGUUCGGGUCUGAGAAACACGACAUCUCCCAAAAUAAUCACAGCCGCAGAUUCAUCCAACAUCGUCGCAAUCUUGGCCGCUUGAUCUAGAUCCGAACAAUUUUCGGAGCAGAUCCGAAAAAACUCGGAUACGGGUAUACAUGUUUUUUGGAUCUCCCUCAGUUUCGAUUUCACUAACUCCACCUGCACCGCCUUUAACACUUUCCUCGCAUCCUCAACCGUCACUCCCUCUUCCAUUGUAUCAACCUUCUCCACCGGUGGAGUCAAACCCUCCAAUCGGAUCCGGGUUCGGGUAAUAUCCAUGUCCCUCAGCUUCUCCAUAAGAUUUCCAGAGAAAGCGGCAGAACGAAGCUCCGGUUGAGAAACGGGUCGCUUGUGAAUGAACCUUCGGAACAAAGCAUUGUGUCCUGGUUCAGGUUCAAUGUCAGAUUGGAUGGGAUUAGAAGAGGUUGUUCUGCCAUGAACGGAGGAAGAUGAAAUGCGGCAUUUAUUGCGUAUUUGUGAUGAGAUUUUGGUAAUAUUGAAGAAACGUUGCACAAGGCUUUUCUUCAACGCCAUGAUAGAACAGAACAGAAACAGAAACACGAAUGUUAUGAUAGUUUGAGGAAAGGGAUAGAGACAUUUGACCUAUUAUAUAGUGCCCCAUAAGAAAGGAAUAGAUAAUGUUUACUAACAAACGCGAUAUUUUCAAUGUUUCGUUCGAUAAAUUGAAUCAUGUGGGUGAGAUAGGGUUGCCGGACACGUGGUUGGAUAGAGAUUAAGGACGUGUGGUGGAUUGUAAUAGGAGGAUUCUAUACCCUUCCUAUUAUCUAUAACAUAUUUUUAAUAAUAAAUAAAUAAAAGAGUACAACCACUACUAAUUUAUCUACACUCACUAUCAAUGGAAGAUGUGUCAAAUCUUUUAACUAAAAAACAUUGAUAAUUAUAAUUAAUUUAUACAUGGUAGAAAAGUUAAUGUUUUUAUUAUUAUUUUUUAUUUGUUACCAAAUGUAUAAAAAAUUUAAGAAGAUGUUUUAAAAUUUAUAUUAUAUUAUUUUUUGUAAUAAAUCAAAAAUAAUGAAACUCUAAUACUAUUUAAAUGUAACCAUAAUAUACUAUAUUUUGGUUAAAUUAAUUACACAUGUCACUAUUUUAUUGUUUAAAAAUUAUAUUUUUCUCUCUGAAGUGGUAGUCAUUGUUGUAUGGUACGUAUAUAAAUUAGUGGUGAUUUAUAUAUGUGUAAAAACGAAUGAUUAUUUGUAUAAUUUUACUAAUACUCAGAUGGUGUAGAUAUAAUUCACUCUAAAUAAAACUACUUACUUUUCUUUAUUUUUUAUUUUAUAAAAAAUAUUAAAAAAAUUCAAUUUUAUCAUCAUUGAAUAUAUUCUUAAAAGAUAGUCAAAGUUUAUUAUAUGGUUAAAGGAGAAAAAAAUAAUAAAUGAUAAAAAUGUAAAAUGGUUUGUUGAAAAAAUAAUGGAGACCUCUUAAAUCUUAUAUCUCAACUUAGACCUUUUUAUCUUAUUUUUUAGUUUCCCACAUGUAUCUUCAUAUUUGAGGCAAUCAUGUCUGAGCCGGGGACAUCCACAGUUACGUGAGACUAACUCUCCAACGGACAUUUUUUUCAUCCAUAGGACUCGAACCCGAGACCUUGCUUAAUGAGAAUCAAGCAUGUACCACUUGAAUCAACACCCGUUGGUAUCUCUUUAUCUUAUUAACAAAUGAUUUAGUUGUCCUUAAUUUUUUGCUUUAUUUUAUCAAUAAAUAUAUUCUAUAAAUCGUAUAAUAAUUUUAUACUUUUAUUUUCAGUUUAUUUGGUAAAUAUGAUAAUGUAGAUAGAAUAAUUAAAAUUUAAGACUAAUUGAAUUUUAUAAAUUGAUACUUGUUAAAAUUUUGGUAUUAAGUUUUAUAUAAUCUCUAAAAAGUCAAUUCUAUCAAUAAAAUAAUAACACGUAAAAUAUUCUAAAAAUAUGAGAAUAUGUAACAACACAAUUUUUCCGACCAUAUAAAAUAUUGUUCUAUAAUUUUUUAAAAUAAAUUUAUCUCCCUUACUUUUCUUAAAUAUAAACCAGUUGGUUUACACUAAUGAAAGUUAUGAAGGUAUAAUGUUAAACCCUUCUACCUAAGAAAGUAAAAUCUGUUAUUUGUAAAUUAAUUAUUAAUAAAUAGGAGUAUCACUUUAUAAUAUCUAUCAGUUUUUUUUAUAGGUAUGAGAUUUUGUAGAAAAUUUUAAAAUUUAAAAUCAUAAUACAUACUUAUAUAUACAAAGAACUGAAAUAAGAUAAGUUCAAAACCAAAAUGGGGAAAUGGCAAAACCAAAGUUGUUGCCUCCACGCCAAUGUGUUGCCAUAUAACAGUAAUCUCAUUUAAAGGUAUAAUUUGAGAGAUAAUUUGAAUAUGCUUUAAGCAUGUUUAUAAUCUUUUUUGAAUAAAAGAUACAUAUAUUAAUAAUAUAAAAGUUUCAUACACACUUAGUCAAUCAUUUAUCAUUCAAUUUAAUUACUUGACCAUUCUUGAAAGACAAUAUAUAUAAGUAAUAAGUAAUAUAUUAAUUAUUUAUGCAAAUAAUAAAUUGAUAUUACAUUAUUUUUUUUGUUGUAAAAGGCAAGUUUGUAAUCAUUUUUUGGGAAAAGGCAGAAAUAGUUGAAAAUUUUAAUUACAUUUUCGGGCGUUCGCUAGAAGGGAGCACAUACGUUGUACCACAAAAUGUGUUAUUCAAUGUGUUACUGUUUGUGAUUGGUUAAAAAAAUAUUUAAAUUAAAAAUUUAAUAAUUAAUUAUUUUUCUGACCAAUCACAUACAGUAACACGUGAAGUGACACACUAUUUUUCAACAGGUCCACCCCAAUUAGAAGGAAGGCUCCAAUUCCCACGAAAUACAUUCCACGUCAUAUGUGUCAAGGAUGCACCUCAAUGGAAAU
rnacentral:lncRNA from 1 species